CUAUACAUUUUUUUUUUUUGGUUACUGUUCAUUCACGCGUAUUCAACAACUCAAAUUUAGUUUUUUUUUAAAUUGUGAACUGCAAUAGCAGGUCACUUUGGGAGAGGUGCCAGUUACCAGGUACCUCAAAAAAGAAUAUUUUUGUCUUUUAAUACAUGAACAAUUUAAUCAUUUUACUUCUAUUAUAUUUUCAAAAUUUUUAUUUUCUCUUUGUUUCCUUUUUCUCUCUCUAUCUUUUCUAUAUUUCUAAUCAAUUAUCUGCAUUAAAUUUUUUAAAUAGUGAUAACGAAUUAGUAACUAAAUUAGAAAAAUUCUUAAAUNUUAAACAUUUUUUUCUUAUAGGGUUCUGAGCUUAACAUAUAGUCGUUAUACUGGCUUGUAUCAAUGAGUCAUUUAUGAUAUAUAGAAAGUUCAUCUUUAAAAAGCCGUAGGGUUUAGCGAUGUUUAAUUCUUUUCCAAUUUUAAAGUAAUUAAUCGGAUAUAUGCACGUUCUCUGCCUAACAUUUAAAAAAGUCCGUUGUUUAGUACAAAAUCUUAUAGAAUUAAUCGACGAUAACAAAGUUAACAUGUUUCUCUUUACUAAGCCAUGAAAAAAAAUUUUUUUAUUUUUUCUAGAAUUGGCAACUAAUUAUCUCCCAUUUUUAUUUUAAAAUUAUAAAUCGUCCAUUUUUCUAAUAAAAUAAGUUCCAAUCAAACCAUCAAGUUGUUAUGUUAUAAAUUUUUUUGAAAAUUAACUCUAGGAUUUAAAUGUGUAAUUAAACGUGAUUAAGUCCUUUAAUUAACUAAUUGGUUGUAAUGUUGUUUUUGCCAGAUAUCGCUGUGAAAAUUUACAGCCAUAUCCAGUUUUUUCACGACGACCGAUUUAAAUGGCUGUGAAAACUUUUCACAACGAUAUACACCCCAGCGAUCUAUAUAUCACUGUCAAUUUCUCACAACGAUAUUAGAUUUUCCCACGACGAUUAAAUGGUUGUAAAUAAAUUCGUAGAUCGUUGGUGGCUUUGAGAUGGAGCAACCGACGCCACCGCCUCCUCCUGCUCUCCUUUACUAGAAGCAGAUCUUAAAGUCAGCUAACUCAUUCACCUCUUCCCUUUUACUAUUAGCUAAAAAGAAAAGAAAAAGAAAAGACAAACAUUAGCCCGGCUUACCCGAUUCAACUCACCCAACUCAUCUCAUGGGAAAAUAAAAAUCAACCUAACCUGAAAUAUAAAUCCGUAAUCAUUUCCACAGGUUUUAUAGGCUAUAGGGUAUGGGCUAGGCCUGGGAUGGGUCUGGGCUUGGCCUGGGCUUGGCCUGGGCUAUUUUUUACUUAUCAUAUGCCUAUUUUUUUUAAUGGGUAAUUUUAAAGCCCAUAUCCAGGCCUAUAAAAUAUGGGUAUGUGCUAAACCUGGGCUGGGCUUGGAUUGAAAAUUUACCCAUCCCAGGCCUUAUCAAAAGUUUAGGCCUGGGCCUAGGCCUGGGCUACUUUAUAGGCUAUCAUUUAUUUUUUUUUAUUUGAAAACUUCAACUUCCUAGUUAAAAUUAUACUGAAUAUCUACUACUCAGUGAUACAUAAAAGUAGGAUUACUUUGGGAUCGGCAGAGAAAAUGAGUAAUGAAAAAAGAUUAAAAAAAUGAGAAACAAAAGAUGAGAAAAAGAAGUAAAGUAAAGGCGGUUGUUAUAAAGUAACAGUUGUUAUAUCAAACAAAUAACUGAUAAAUUAUUUCAAAUAUUUUUUUAUAUAAAUAUGCCUAUAGGCAUGGGCUAAAUCUGGGUUAGGUAUAGGCUAAAACUUGCCCAUCAUAUGCCCAUCAGUGAUGGGUCUGGGCGAGUUUAUCUGGACUACCCAUAUAAUCUUUGAAAUCAUGGGUCUGGGCCUGGGCUGGGCUUCAAUUUACCCAUCCCAUAUAUAUAAAAAAACAUUGGUAAAGAAAAAUCCCAUACCCAUGUCAUAUAAUUAAUAGGUCUGGGCUGGGCCAGGUGCCUGUAGAAAUCCGUAAUCAUCCUAAAAAAAUUCAAAACCGUAUUUACACUGUGAAUAUGUUUUCACAGGGUUUGUACACAGCGAUAUUGGAUUAAGACAACAUCACGUUUAAAUACGUAAUUAAUCUAUAAUUAAAUCCGUAGAUGAAAUUUACAAAAUCACAAAGAUUUUAAUACGUUAUUAAAUUUAAUAUCCUUAAAAUCUUUAUCAAGAUAAAGAUUUAUGCUACUUAAAUUUAAAAUUUAUAAUUUAUAAAUUUUAAAUUUUCACUUUAAAUUUAAUCUCCUUAAAACAUAAUGAUAAAUUUUUUUAACAUUACAACCAUUUAUAAAAUUAAGUUGUAUAAAUUAUACAAAUUCUUAAAAUCAGGUAUUUUAUAUAUCAUGCGUUAUUAGAAAGUUUAAGCAAAAUGCACAGCACAUGCUACACGAGCGUAGGACAAAAAAAUUUACCAUUUUGUAUUCUUACGGUGCAGGAAAUAUCCAUACGAGGAACAAGCGAGUAGGGCUGGCAAACGAGCGAGCCGGCUCGCGUUCGACUCGUGUUCGGCUCGAUAUUCGGCUCACUCGAGCUCGACUCGAAAUUAAAUGAGCUGAGCUUGAACAAAAUAAAAGGCUCGAAAUUCAUUUCAAGCCGAGCUUGAGUAUUACUCGGCUCGUUCGAAUUAGGCUCGAAAAACUCGAAAGCUCGAAGUAUAUAUAUAUAUAUAUAAUGUAUUUUAAUUAUAUAUGGGCUUUAAUUUAAUUUGGGCCAUUAUUGUUGGCCCAUAAAAUAAACCCGACAAGUACAACCGUGCAAUUGAGCCCAACUCUAAAUUUACAUAACACACUCUCUCUUUCAGACUUUCACUGUUGCACAUAACCCUAAAACAUGAUAAUAUUCCAAUUUCCAAAUCUCUAAUUUUUGUUCCUCUCUCUUUCUCUCUCUCUCUCUGACCCUCACCCAGUCAGGCAGUCACCUUAGCUCACAUUUCUUAUAAUUAUUUUGUAUUUUGAACUAUUGAACAUGUUGUAUCAAAUUAUAGGUAAUGUUCUAUAAAAAUUAAACUAUUGAUUAUAUUAUGUCGAGAAUUUCAAUCGGCUCGUUUAGAGCUCGAGCUCGGCUCGACUCGAAAUUAGGCUCGCUCGAGUUCGGCUCGAAUUAAUUUCAAGCCGAGCUUGAGCCUAGAUUUAGGCUCGAAAUUAAUUUCAAGCCGAAUUUGAGCUGACAUAAGCUCGCUCGAGCUCGCCUUGUUUCCACCCCUACAAGCGAGUAGCUCGUCAGAGGAGGAGGAGAGCUAACCGAAGGAGGAGGAGGAGGAGGAGAAGAAGAGUUAGAGGAGUUGUUGGGGCAGAUCGAAUUGGUUAGCGAGAAGAGCAUAAGUAUAUGUGCCUAUUAUUUGGAGGUAAAAAGAUAUUAGUUAUUAUCUAAACUAUACUGCACUUUGAAAGUGGACAACUGGGCUCUAUGAAUUUCGAUUUUAAUUCGUAAACCUUAUAUAUGCUCAUUUUGAUAAAAGAAAUUUUCUUCGAAAGAUUUGUAGAUUCUUUUAAAAUUUAGUCUCUUCCGUUAAACAAAGUGCAAAAUGUUUCAUACAAUAAAAAAUAUUUUUUUUAUCAAAUUUUAAAAUGUUUUAUCAAAAAAUGUUAAGUAUCCUUUCGAAUUCUAUAAAGAACAUAAUCAACGCGGUGGAAAGUUAGAGAGUAGAAUUAAAUAUUUUGAAGUUCAGUUAUUUAUCUCAAAGCGUAGUAUAGCUCACCUAAGAAUCAUUCUCUUUUAUCUUAUUUGGUGAUCACUAUUCCUCUUUGAGAAGAGUUUUUUUUUUCCCUUUGUUUCGCCAAAAAUAAACAAAUUUUAUAUAUCUACAUGCAAUGGUAAGAGUUUUUAUUCAUGGACUCGUGGUCUUCUCUUUCAGGUUGGUGCAAUUUAGCUUGCCGGACAAGAAUUGUAGUGUGCUGUUGUCGGUUAAUAUAUAUUUGUGUUUUCGUGAUAUAAAUUUGGUUGCUGAAUGUACUAUUUUAUAAUUUGGUUUGAUUAUUUGUAAUUUUAUGGAGUUCUCUAUACAUGUUAUGGGCUUGAAAAAGAUUGUUUGGUUUGAAUAAACAAAAUGUUGCUACUUUUUUAAUACUGAUAUUAGAGGGUACAUUAAUUUUUAAGUAAAUCUCAUGUUGAGUUUAUUACUAACUAGUAUAUAUGCAUUGUGUUACGAACUUGUUUAAAAUCAGAUGCUCUGUUUUGGCAUGCAAGUUGGAGCUAGUAUGUAUGUACCGCAGUUGAGAGGGUUAAUUUCCAUAUAUGUUUACUUUAAUUUAUCUUUACUUUUAUUUGAUUAGAUCCGAAUUAAGCCGAUAAAUUUUAAAGUAUUAAAAGUUUUAUUAUUUAAUUUGGCUUUUUCGAGAGAUUUUUAGUGUUGUUGAGAUUCCAACAUAAUCCUGAAUCGAUUUAUAAUAAACGAUCGAACUAGAAUCAAUAAAAAGUCAGUUGGCUUUCCAGUUUGGUCUUUAUACCAAACAUGGUGGUUUAAAAUGAAGUAUAUAUAUUUAUUAAUAUGAUAUUAUGAUAUGAUAUAUCAUAUAUUAUAUAUAACUAUAUUAGCUGUGCAUUUAAUAAUUUGUUGAGGUAAGUGAUUCUCACAUGCUGUGUGCAAUAGAAAAAUUGUAGAUUACCCACUCUAUUUAUUUGUAGUUAAACAUUAUAGCUUGUAUAAAUUUGAGUUAAAAAUCAUAGUAAUUAUAAAUCAUGUAAUAAAUAACAAUACAUUUAGAAUUUUAAAGCUAAAGACGAUAUUUGACUCACAAUAAACAAAUAAAAAAAUUGAAACAAAUUCAAUAGUACAGAAUUAAGGAACAUCUUAAAGAUUAGAUAGUAAAAGUAACAAAUAGCUGGUAGUUAUGGUAAAUGUAUCUAGAAUUUCUUUUAUUUUUAUUCAAUAACUGCAAAAAUUUGAAAGAAGUAUUUCUAGGUUCAAAUAAUUAGAAUUUAAUUUUAUGACAGUGUAUUAUUCUUUGCUGAGACCCUAACAUUUGGGACCAACCGUAAAAAAAAAAAAGAAAAAUUGCAUGAAAUAUUUUUUGAGAGAAAGGUAGUAUGCUACCACUUUAUUCAUUAAGAAAGUAAAUUUAGCAAACUGCGGAAAGCAACUGCGCUUCCACCCAAAAAAAAAAAAAAAAAGAAACCAAAAUUUGCCAUUAAAUAGAAUAUAAAGUAAGAUUAUUGUAAAUUAUAAUAUCAUAAGGUUUGUAAAUUAUAAUAUUUUAGUUACAUGUGGUUUACAAGUUACACUAGUUUAGCAACCGCUUCACCAGAAGGUCCUUAUAGUGAUAAAAAUAAAAAUUAAAAUUAAAAAAAAUGGGCAAUAUGGCAAAGCAAAAGUUUUUUCAACCACAUAUUGAAAAAGUGAAAAUGUGCUAAUAUAUAGGGGGCUAAUUAGAAGUUUAUUGCAUCCUAUUUUAUAGCGCUAUUCCAUCCAAAGGCCAACAUUUUCACACUAAUGGGGAAAAAAAAAUUCAUAUUGAUGUCCAAAGGGGAUAGAGGUAUCAAAGUGCAAAUAGGUAAAAAUCAGAGGACCAAAUUGUAACUUCCACUAAAUGCAAAGUGAGAAGGAUCUCAUCUUGUGAAUUAGAUCAAGCAUCAAGAAUUGAGUUGCUGUACUCGUCUUACUCUCCGAGUGCGCAAUUUUUUUAUGUCAAUUUUUACUGUAGUACGAAGUGUUUGUUAAUUUACUAGUUAAAUAUGAUUUGAACAAGUUAAAUAUGGAUAAAAAUUUGAAUGCGAUUUAGUAUAUGCAUGUGGCUACCACUUUCGCCAAUCGAAGUUUACGAACAAACCCUCAACCCUAAACCCAUUUGUUAUCUCCAAAUGCUAUUGAAAUUGUUUAGAUGACAGACCGUUCCUAGAGUAAGUGGCAAAGGGUUUGGUGGUUGGUAUACGAGACCCUAGUUCGAAUCCUAGUUGAUUCACAUUUUUAGCUAAUUUUAUUUCUAAACGAAAUAAGCGAAGCAGGUAGCGUACUAUCUAUCUCUCAAAAUAGAAAUUGUUUAGGUGACAAAUGUAAUAAAAAAAGAGAUUGAAGAAUCACUCUUGUACAACUGAAAAGUGAUUUUGACUGAUAAUGUGAAUGAUAAAUCAGCGGAUGGAUUUUGAGAUUUAGCUUUUAUUCUUUUUAUAUAUUAUGCCCACUCAAAAGUGCAGUGUAAAUCUUAUACUCAUAUAUUCAAAGAUUUACAUAAUACUUUUGAGUUUUUAAUAUCAACAAAGAAAAAAUUGAUAAAAUUAGUGAGAAAAUAUUAGCCCUUGGAUGGAAUAGUGCUAUAAAAUAGGAUACAAUAAACUUCUAAUUAGCCCCCUAUAAAUUAGCAUAUUUCACUUUUUGAAUAUGUGGUUGAAAAAACUUUCGCUUUGCCAUAUGGCUCUUGUUUUUUAAUUUUUAUUUUUUUAUCACUAUAAGGGCCUUCAGUUGAAGUGGUUGUAAAAAUAGUGCAACUUAUAAACUACAUGUAACUAAAAUAUUAUAAUUUACAAACCAUAUGAUAUUAUAAUUUACAAUAAUAUUACUUUACUAUUCUAUUUAAUGGCAAAUUGUUACGGUAGAAUAAAGUCAAAAUUAGAGGAUAGCAAAAUAAAACUUCUAAGUCACAGGAUUGCAAAAUUGAAAAAAUCUCAGUAAAUCAUAGGAGGGGUUAAUUGAAGUUUAUGCAAAAUAAAAACUCUAGCUCCGUGCAAUGAUUUCAUAGUGUGAGGAGUAUAAUCAAACUUUUAGAAUGGAUAAAAUAUUUAGCCUAGAAAUCAAUUUUUUCACGGAAAGAUAAAUUAUCUCAUAAUAAAAUAUAUUAUUCUGCAAAAUAAUGAACAACAACAAUACCUUCUAAAGCUGAGAGAAAAAAGGAAAAAAAAAAAUUCAUAUUGAUGUCCAAACGGGAUAGAGGUACCAAAGUGCAAAUAGGUCAAAACCAGAGGACCAAAUUGAAGUUUUCACUCUGCUAUAAAAACCCAGCCCGUUUGAAACAGCACCUUCUUCUUGUAUUCCCUCCAAAAUUUCUCCCUCCCAGAUUCCCUGCUCCAGCGUCCAACCCCCAAAAUCAAUCAAGAAAUCGAAGAUGAGCGAAUCCUCGGCCUCCGCCGGUGGCGACGGCGAGAGUGGAAACGAGCUGUGGGUGCCGCCCUUCACCGAGGAUAUCUUGCCCCGCAUUGUGGCCAGGCUGACCGGUGCCGAUCACGCCGCUCUCCGUGCCACCUGCAGAUCGUGGCGCGCCAUCUUCUCUGCCGUCCCCCCCUCCCCCCAUCCCGGCCUGCUCCCCUUCCUCCUCCUCCCCCCGCAUUUCGCCCUCCCCGAUCCCCUCUGCCUCAGCCAUCGUACCCCGCCCCAUCCGCCGCCCCUUCCCGACUACCCUCUCGGCCCCAUCGUCCCCUUCCCCCGCCUCGGCCACGGCCAUUCCGAUUCCCCCUUCUUCCCCCUCGGCAGCCUCCGCAAUCCCACAUUCCGCCCGCUCCCCUCCCUCUCCGACACCACCCGCCACGUCUGCGUCGGCUGCUCCCACGGCUGGCUCAUCCUCCUCGGCCCCACCUCCCACAUCUCCCUCCUCAACCCCCUCACCGCCGCCACCAUCCCCCUCCCUCCCCCGCUCUCCUCUGUCCGCUACCUCUUCCCUGUCUCCGAUCCUCGUGACGUCGACCAACACCUCCUCUCGCCGCCUCAUCAACCUCGCCGCCUCCUCCACCUCGCCGCCCUCGUCCGCCUCGCCGCCCUCUCCGCCGANUCCCUCCCCCGCUCUCCUCUGCCCCCCUAUACUUUCCCCUCUACGAUGAGAACACCGUCGACCGCUACCUCCUCUUUCGGGGCGAUCCACCUCGCAGGCUCCGCCACCUCGCCGCCCUCGUCCGCCUCGCCGUCCUCUCCGCCGACCCCACCGACGACCCCUCCUCUUUCAUCCUCGUCCUCGUCCUCGGAAACACCAUCUCAGCCCGCGUCAUCUCCUGCGGCCCGAGCGACGGCUACGCCGCGUGGAGGCACCACUCCUACGGGGGCUUCCCCGCCUACGGCGUGACCGACCUCAUCUUCCACCACGGCCUCUGCUUCGCCGCCGUCAUGUGGCGCAGCAUUGGCCACUCGAUGCUCGGCCCUGUGGACUCAAUUGCCGUCUUCGAUUUCCAAGCCAAUCCGGCAUUCCAGAGGUUCCGCAGGGUUUCGAUCCCAGAAAACAAUGUCGAAAAGAACUACGCCAACUUCUUUAUCGAGUCGGCUGGCGAUCUACUGCUUAUAAGCAGGCACCGAGAGCUCACCGCGGGGCGCAUCUUGGUCCAUCGUCUGCCUCCUUUGGAAGGGGACGGUCCGUUUGUAUUGACUCCCCUGGCCAGCAUUGGCGAUCGCGCCUUGUUCUUGGGCACGGGGAAUACCGUCGCAGUCCACGCGCCCGACUUCCCGCUGUCCGUCAGAAGAAACAGCAUCUACUUCACCGACGUAUAUCGCAGGGUGGUAAACAAUCAGUUCGUUUCCGUCGGCUGCGUCUACGUGUUCGACAUGGAGCAGGGCGUCACGACGAAGGCGUUCGAAGUGGCGGAAACGGACGAGACGAACAUGUGGGUGAAUCUGAGGCCGUGGUGGGUUACGCCGAAUUUGCGCAGGAGAGGUCCAUGAGCACCGAGAGGUUCGAUCUCGUACCGCACUUUCGUUCUCCCUUGGUGCACAUUCUGAGUUUCAAAUACAAUUGCAGUCUCAUUGUGGAUACAAUCAAAGAAUCCAGAUCAUUUAUUUGCCCCCUUACAUGUUCUUCUCAGCGGAAAGUUGAGAACUAAGGAUGCAAUUGAUCAAGCCUUAAAUCUGGCUAUUAGGAAUUGCUCAAAAUAAAAGCACCGAAUUUCGUAAUUUAACUUUGCUUCACUUAUUGAAGUUAUUAUGAUCCAGUUUCAUAGUAUGAACACUUUUUAACUUUUGAUUGGACAGUUCUGAAGAAUCUACUCCCUUACAUGUUUGAAGAGCAGUUCUUGAAUAGUAAAGAUUUUGCUCAAAUCUUUAAUAUUCAGUAUCAAGUUAUCUCGAAAAUUAAAAUGAGUUGACCACGAUUUAUUGUGAUAUCGUGACAAAAGUAGUUGCAUUUCAUGAUCCAGGUUAUUCGAGGAAUGGAAGGAAGAACCGAUGCAGCAAUUCGACCCUUAUAACCAUCCUUAGCCCUCCAGCUUCCUAGCCAUCUAUUCAAAUUUCUAUGUUUUCUGUACAUAGAUGAUGCUGUGCAGCAUCUACAGUCCUGCAAGAGUUUGGAACUUCAUCCAUACAUUGUAUCAUAUCUGAUGCAAAAAUUUAGCACCAUUUUGUUUUGAACUUGUACAUAUCAUUUAGGAGCAUCUGCUGAGCGCGCACACAACUAUCAGAAACUGAUGAGACGUGCGAUAAAGAAAUUGUCUUACUGCGUGAAGAACAGCAUGAUGAUCCAUCUGAAGCAUUCUCCUCUGUAAACAGGAAACUGCAUGUUUACAUCUUUUUAUUUUUUCCUUUCUUUGUGGGGUCUUAUAUUGUUAUUAGAUCAAGCAUCAACAAUUGAGUUACUAUACUCAUGUUUCUUACUCUCCCAUUUGAUUUUGUAAUGGAGGCAUGGUGACUCUUGUGACCAGGGAUUGAGGAAAGGGCCUAUUAUAAUGAGCCCUACUUGAAGCCAAUUUCUAUGGCCGUGCACCUUUUAGGACCUAUUAGGCCCUGCUAGCUAGAGAGUGGAGUUUACUGUUUGAUGAAGUGUUUCUCAAUUUAUUAAUUAAAUAUUCUUCAAAUAAGUUAAAUAUAAGAUAAAAGAAUCGACUGCAAUUUAGUAUGAAGAUGUUGCUACCACUUUCACCAAUUUAAGUUAAUUUACAAAUACUUAUCGGAAAAAAAAAAAAAAAAAAAAAAAAACUGUAGUACAAUAGUGUUUGCAAAUUUCAAGAAUAACUAGAGUAACAGGAGGGCUUCAUUAGAACGUACAAGUCGUUAAGUUGCUUAAAAACCAUGCUUUCAAAAUUGUUUUGAUCGUUGAUCAUCAGAUCAUCAGGAUAUUUCCAUUAUUUAAGUGGAGCUACAUGCUGGAGAGAAAUAACAAAUGCGUCUUAAAUAUGCUUUGAUUUUUUUUAACGGUGCAAACAUUAAGGAGAAGAGCUUCUAAUACUAUAUGUUUGAACAGUAGAAUACAGACCAAAUGUUCGACAUGUUAGGAGCAACGUUUCUUAGCAAAGAUUCAGACCGGUAUUUGCUACCGAUGAAAAUCUUUGCUAUUCAGAAUUCUCCUUCCAAGAUUAUAAAAAUGAACAAAAAGAAACAAAAAGAUAGAAUAACAACGACUAUAGAUGAAAAAAAAUUUGAAUCAAUCAAAUACUAAUAUUAUGUAUUUGCUGACAAUGUUCAAAAAUGGUGAUGUAUCUCAUUGAAAAGAAUAAACUCGAAUUAUUAUUAAUUAUACCUUGACAUCCCUCUGUAAAUUAUAUAUAGGAGAAGAUAAAGAAUUGUGCUCCAAAAAUGCGACAAGAAUCUCCUAGAUAACAGCAGGUCGAAGGGCGAGAUGGGUCGGAGCCUCAUCAGAAUUACUGGCCAUCAAAAUCCGCGCUGUGAAACAAUGGUAUGCUAAUGCCACAAGCAUAUGAAAGGAGAUUGGUUUUGAACAGUUAGCAAGUAUUUAUCUGUUUAUGCCGAUGAGGCGACUUCGAUGGCACUGCCGAGUGGCCACGCCGCUUCAACAUAGGCAUCACCGUAUUGCACCUUCUUGACCAGAGUGAUCUCUUGAUAAGGGUCUACACCUGUUAGAAAUUAAAGUAACCUAAUCAGAAUCAGAACUUACAGAUACUUUCGAGCGAAUGCCCUCUCCCAAAUUACAAUGUGGUUUACCAGUUUUGUAUAGAAGACAGGAUGCUUUCAGUAAGUACAAGGAUAUAUACUAAAGAAGUAACUUUCCAGAGGGUAUGCAUGAAAAAUUAAGAUUUUGGAGGGAUAUACAUGUUCAAUUGAUAUUUUGCCAGGCUGUAAAUGUAAAUAUGUCUAAUCUUUAAAAUGUUGAAAUGUCUCAAAUUGAUCAGUCUUCAAGGCAUCAUUUAAACCAGUUGAGAGCCUCCGCAAGCCAAUUUCAUAACCGUCUUGCCAGGUUGACAAACACUGAUUGUUGGUAUUGUGUGAUUUCAAGAUAAUAGAUGAAAAAAGGGAGAAAAUAUUGCAAGUAAAUAUUGUACUAUGUGGCGACAGGGCAUUGGUUUGUGGCUGCUCCCAAAGUGGUUCAAAUGUUACUCUAAAAGCUUCGUCCUCAAGUUGGCAAUAAAUAGUUUCUCAAGUGGACCUACCGAAUCCAUCCACAAGCAAUGUGAACUGGUACACGAGAUCCAUGCAAAGAUAUGGAAUGUUGUCCUUGGAAACAAGCGGAUAGGUGGUUUUGGCGUCGUUGACAUUCAUUUCACAAGCACGCUUAGCAGCCUCCUCGAAAUCCGAAGGUUUAACUUUAGCUACUGCCUUGUUAGGAUCUACAAAGCCAGCCUGAGCAGAGAAUAAUAUUAGUGAUAAGCUACUGGAGGUAAAAACAAAAGGACAUUAAGAGCAUUCUACUCUUUGUUGCAAAUAUAGAAUGUACUACAAAGGGCCUGUUUGAAUCAAGCUAUUAGAAGAAUAGCUAAAUAGAUUUUUUUAUUACGAUAAUCCCUAAUCCCAACAACUUAAGAAUUGCACUGAAGCAGAAGCUGGAAAUUGGAGCUUCUGCUCUUGGUGAACAAAAGCUCGAUUAAGCAUUUUUUUUGUUUGCCAAAUGCAUAGAUUACUACUUAUCAAAGUAGAGAAGGUCGUUUUAGAAUCCAGGCCAUAAUAGGCGCCAAAAAGAAGAUUGUCACCAUAGUCUUACCUCAGCAGCCCUAUCGAAGAAAAAGGAUGCAACAAAUAGAUUCUUUUGUCCGUCCCCACCACCGCCAUUCCACACACCACCAAAAGUACAUUUCAUGUGUGUGCAUGUCGCUUCAUCAACUUUAAGGGCUUUAACUGCAUCAGCCCUACACUUCGAAAAACUAGCACCAGAAGGCAAAGCUGAGGCAUCGUAUUCCUUGUCGCCAUACUUGUAUGACCCUGUCAGGAAUUCAAGGGUUAUAAAUGCUGCUAUAAACUAAUGGAAAGACACAUCACGAGUCACAGUCACUGAAAAUAGUGACUAAUGAUUCAUUUAAUCAGGUUUACUAAACAAAUUCAUUUAUUCUAUACAGCUCUAACACUAUCAGAGUUCUCUGUUGAUUCGAGGAAACAUUGUUGCCCGGACACUAUAUACCACAUUUACCACAUCAUCCGUGAACCAGAACAGCUAAGAUGCAACCAUCCCAACCACCAAAAAGGGUCCAGGAAAAUUUUAAGAACAAAGAAAUUUUAAAGAAAUACACAUCCAAAAAAAAUGCCACAAGACUGGCUAAAUCAAUAAAAUAUAACCCAUACCCUCAUAUCCAUUUAAUAUACAGUUAUUGCUGCCAUCUCCAGCCUUAAGAAUCUCUGCUCGAGCAGCCAAUAAACCAUACCGUAAAUAACUGCAAAGGUGAAACCCAGUUAGAUGUAUAGUUUAUAAGAUCAGAACAUUUUAGAGAGACUUGCUCGCAAAUUAUCUAUUGAUGUUUACAUACACAAAGGAGCAUGUUUGAAUACUAUCUUAGAAAGGUCACAGAAGACAAUUCAAUUUAAAACGAAGAUUAAGAUAGUAAUAAUAAAACAUUAGAGAACAAAGGUGUUGCAGUUGAUCAAGGAACAAGUCGGACCUGUGAACAUAAAGGUAGUAUGUUGUUCCCUUUAGAAACAGUUUCUUCACAUAUGAAUCCUCUCCAUCCGACACUUGGGGUGCCUUUGCAGCAUCCUUCUCUGAGAUUGCAUAAGCCAUUUGGACAGAUCCACCUCCCAGAUCAACCACUCCAACUGUAUCUGAGUAUGUCUUUCCCAGAUUACCUAACAAAUAAUUGAUGGUGACCUGCAAAAAAUAUAAUAACCCUUUUUCAGAAGAGAAACCAAUUUCAGCAGAUAUGGAAAAAUAGUACUUUGAAAAAUAGUCAUUGUGGAAGAUACUACAUUGUGAAUUAGGUAAAAACAGAAAUAGCGACUCUCAAAUAAAUUGAUCAGCAAGUAGUAAAAGCUAGUCCACAAAGCAUACCCAUUGAUAAGCACCUUCCUGAGUCCCAUCAAGAACAGUCACCCAAUCUGCCUGCGAUUUCAAUGAGCUCUUAUCUUGAAGGAGAUCCCUAACCUGUAUACAUUCCAGGUUAGAUUAAGGCAGAUUGUGAAAUAUCGAAAUACUGUUUAAACAAGAAUUGGGCUAUAUAUUCACCAAAUACCACAAUAGUACUAAACAAAUGGUCAACUAAACAAGGGCUAGAAUUUAGAUGAAGACAGUAUAUAUAUGCUAAGGGACGAAGAUUGACACUUACUGCUUGGAGAAUUUGUUCAGAUUUUUCAGUUCCCAACGCUCUGAGCCCCGCUGUUGCCUGCAAAGGAAUCAAAUAUUUGAUAGUCACUAUUACCAGGGCAUACACAACUUUGCAUUGGAAAACUUUACAAGCUAUCCUUGAUCCAUUAUUUGGAACGACAAUGUACCCCAACUCUGACAGGUGUUUUUUGUCUCAAUUCCACAGGAACCACACUUUCAGCUUCCUUCAGAAGAGAUGUUAGUGAAUUUGCUGCCUCCUGCGGAUCUUUAGCAAAGGAGCUCAAGCCUGGUUUUUUCUGCAUGCAAAGGAGGAAAAAAAACAAAUAAUUAGAAAGAUCGAGGCAUCCAAGAUUUACUUGAAUUUAACAACAAUCAGCUGAGUAUCAGGCAAACAUCUUAGUUUAAACAUGUAACAAAGAUUAGGAUUUGCGUGUAUGUGUGCGUGCACGUGCACAGAUGCAUACGUAUUCGAACGAAUGCACACAUACAUGUAUUGUGCACGUACACAUAUAUGGGAUUAGCUAAAAAGACUGAUUUAUUAAAUGGUUGAUUAAUUCCUGUAAAACGAGCAGCAUCGACAAUAAAACGUAACAGGUUCAGUGCUCUCUGCAUGGUGUUCUUGUUUCCACACGAGUGCACCUUUUUAUUUGGCCUGAUAUAUGGCAUUUUCUGAAAAAUUAGAGUUUUUUUGUUCACUUCAUGCCUCGCAUUCACUUGCAUAUUAUUUCCCAAACUUCUCAUGAAGUUCCUUUGAAGAUCCAGUUACAAAUUUAACAGUGUUAUCAUCUGCAAUCCGAGUGUUGACACCAUUAGUGUUUAUGAUGCUAAUAAUAGUUUAUUGUGGCAGCACUAGUUCCCGUCCAAAUUCAAAAUCCUUAACCCAAAGAUAGAAAAUUCCCGAACCAAGUAAGACCCAAGGAUUAAAUAAACUGCAUAAGUUGAUCAAAAUAUGUUAAACACUGCAUUUUACUUUGUUCCCUUAAUCUCCAAAAUUAGAUAUCAGCAUCUAAUUGCGCAUAGAUCUACUUCCGCAGGGGCUACAUAACCAGAUGAUCGCGAUUAAAAAGAAACACACUCGAAUCGAGUAAUCGAACCAAUCACCUGCACGAACAGCUCGAUCUCCUUCCCAAUGUGGAGCAGAUCCAAGUUCUCGUCGAAGGAGUAGACGUGAACCCUACUCCCCGAGCUCCCCGCGUCGAAUAUGACCGCGUAGCUCCUCGACCCCGCGGUCCCCCCCUCGCCGCUCCCGGGCAUCGUCUUCCUCCCGGCGACGGCGACGGCGGGGUAGCGGGGCAUGAGGAGGAGGACGAAGGCGACGAGGAAGAGCGGGACGGAGACGACGAGGAUGGCGCCGCGGUGGCGCCGGAUCUGGUCGGGGAAGGACUCCCCACGCCCUCCUCCUCCUCCUCCGCCGCCGCCGCCGCCGACGCGGUGGCGCAUCUUGGGAUCGAUCUCCGGCGCCGCCGCGGAGGGGAGGAGCUCCGCCGCAGAGGGCGAUCGGAAGCGGAUCUUGCCGUUGCUUGGCGACGCCUUCACCGUCUCCUCCGAAGUCUCCAGCUUCUUCCUCCUCUUCCUCUUCUUCUCCUUCUUAUAUAUAACGGAAAGAGAAGAAGAAGAAGACGACGACGAAGAGAGCGACGACGACGACGAGAUCUAUUUAUAUAUAAAUAAAUAUUUUUUUUAUUUCAAAAUAUAAUUCCUCUCUUCUCCUCUUCGUAAUGCGCCAAUCACGACACACGGAGAGAGGUGAAGGAAACCACCGACCUGCUCGCUGGGGAAAUUUACAUAUCAGUCCUUGGAAAACUUCUAUCGUAAAUAUGCCUCCAAACCCCUAAGGUAUAAGUAUUUCUGAAACAGAGCCCCGACUAUAUUUUAGUUGAAUUUUUUUAGAUAGUUAAAUAAAAAGGGCAAAACUUCAAAUAUUAUUCUUAUGGUUUCGCACUUUUUCACUUUAGUACUCUAUAGUUGUUCGUAUUUUGUGGUUUUAUUUUUUUCUUUUUGUUAUCAUAUUCAUUAAUUUUUUUCGUUAAAUUGACAAAGUUAAAACUAAAAUGUACUAAAAUGAAUAUUCAAUAAAUUAUAAAUAAGGCAUCUGAAGUUUUUUGUAUAUAGUUUAACGAAAAGUUAACGGACUAAGUGAAGAAAAGAAAAAAAUGAAACAAUAGAGUAUUAAAUUGAUACAUUUUAAACCAUAGAAUACUAAAAUUAAAAAAAACACGAAAUUACUAGGGUGGUAUUUAAAGUUUACCCAAUAAAAAUUUGUUAAAAUUGCAGUCUAAUUAGCUGUUAGCAGUUAAUGUGUGAAAUUUUAUUUGCUGUGGAGUAGUUUACACUAUUAAAUUUGAUCAUAUUUUUAAUUAAUUUGAUAAAAACUUUUAAUUUAUUUAGCUAAAAUUAUUCUAAUUUCAAAUGAAUCAAAAGAGCAAAGCGAAUUGCGUAUUUGCAUAUGUUCCCUAGAACUACACAUAUUUUUGUUUGCAUUCUUUAAAAGCUUUGAACUUACCACUAUUAUUAGAGAACCUGUAGAAAUGGUUGUUUAGAUUUAAUCCCAUAUUACAAAAGAGCCUAAUAUUUUAGAGAACUUGUAGCAAUGGAAUUAUGAAGUACUCUACAGUAAAAUUCAUAUAUUUCUACAUUGAAAAAUUAAUUCAAAAUUAUAAUUUCCAAUUAAAAAUAUACAGAGACCAAAUUGCAAAAUUAAAAAUAGUACAAAAUUUAUUCAUACGUUUUACCUUUACUUGCUAAGUGGAGCAAAAGUUUGGGGGAUCGUGUAGAAGACGCGGCAAAGUCAACGAUAAAAUACAAAAGUUAGGCCUUAAAUCAACAUACAUAAAUUAUUAAUUAAGAGAAAAAAGAAAAUCAACAAAGAAGAAACAAUUUGGUUUUUGACAAUUGCAAAAGUGGAAUUUGAAAACAUAUUUCAGUGAAUAUAUACUUGAGAUAAGGUUCUCCAAUAAUUUUUUGAAAAAAUUGGGACAAAAUGUGAAGUUACAUUAGAAAUAUUUUUCUUAAAAGGGUUUCAGAAAUGUUAGGUCUAAGUGUAUGACUUUUUCAUCAUAGAGUUUUGAUUGAUACCUAAUUAAGUAACCAGUUUUAUAGAUUUGUUCAAGUUCAUCUACCAAUCAAUGGGAGUUGCUUUUAUGACAAAAUAAUCAUAAUAACAAUAAUAAUAAUAAUAAUAAUAAUAAUAAUAAUGCUUCAAAACUAGUUGUCACAUCUCAUUAACAACUUACCAGUCAUUAUUAAAUGCAUGGUUACCCUCCUCAGAUCAUGUGCCACAGGAGUUGAAGAUUUAUUAAGAAAUUGCACUUUGGAGUAGGGACUACAUUACACAUGUAAUGUUGAAGACUCAAAAAAGAAUAUCUCUUUGACUAAUGAAUUGAUGCUUUUGGACUCAUUCUUCAACAAAUUUAUAAUCAAAACAUGUUUUAAACAAGGGUAUGUGCUAUUCAUGGUGAAAUAUUAUUUUUAGAGUAAUACUAUUUGUAUAUAUUUUUUGAGCAGGAAUAAAUUUUUCAUUCUAUUCAUACAAAAGCUCUAUUAUCUACUUAUCUCGCUAGUUUUAUCAAUUUUUUUAAUUGAUAAUUUUUUUUUGAGUUUUUGUGAAUAAUUUGAGAAAUAUAAAAUUUACACACAUAUUUUUUAUAUAUUGGUACACAUGUAGUAUUUUUUUUUUUUUUUGACUGCUGUUGAUUUAUUAAAUACUAAAUAAUUUGUAUAGUAUAAAUAAAUAUAUUAACAAUUGGCGAAAGAGCUUGAUGGUUGGUAUCCGAGAUCCAAGUUCGAAUCCUAGCUGAUUCAUAUUUCUAGUUAUAUUUAUUUUUAAAUGAAAUAAAUGAAGUGGGUAGUGUGCUAUCUAUCUCUCGAAAAAAAAAAAAAAAAUAAUGGUAGAGAAGCACUCAUUAGGAAUAAUAAAAGUGUUUUUAUUUAGAAUACAAAAUUCUUUGAAGUUCUUAAUAGCAAACAUACAAAUAUGCUAUUUUGCGAAGAUAUAUAUAAACUAAGUUUUUAUAAAAUAAAUUUAUAAAUUCAUAGUUUUUGCAAUUAAUUUUUUUAUAAAAUAAUUCAGUAAGUGUGCUCUGCGGGAAAGGUCUUUAUUAUAACACUUGCACUUGAAAUAGAAAAGAGUCCAACUAAGAAUAAAAUAAUAAGUAGAGAUUAAAGUAAUGCUAUUAGGUUUGUUAUACUGUUAUUUAAUAUAAAAAGAUUUUUAAGUAAACCAUAUAAAUUUUUAUUGAAAAUAAUUAUGAGAGAGUUUUUUUUUUUUUUCGGGCUCUUCAUGCAUCUAGGCGAAACUUUUACCAAAUAAUGAUACUUGUGUACACUCAAAAAUGGAUGUAAGCCUACACCCUUUUAGUGAAAGACCAAUAUAUUAUAUUUUUUUUACUAUUAAAAUUUUUUUAAAAAGUUAUUUAAACCAUUGGAUUGGAGGGUGUAAAAUGUAUGUGCAGAUAGCUCUCUUUUUUUCUUUUUUUUUUUGGAAGCAUGCUAUUCGCGCCGAUUUGGCGAUCUGAGUAGAUUUGCCGAAUCAACUUAUGCCGUUCAUGUAGGAGCCUUACUAAUUUGGUGAGUCUAUUUAGUUUGCAGAAUUGAAAAAUAAAAUUCUUUCUCUUUGCUUGGGAUGCAAACGAGACGAAUUCAGGGCUAGAGGGCCCCUCGCCUCCCGCCUCGUAUGUUUUGUCAGAUUGGUUCUAAUUUAGAAUGAAUUAAUUAUUAUUUUAUUUUUUGUCAGACUUUUAAUUGCACUCAGAACGGAUUGAAACAUGAGCGAAUUUUUGACAAUUUUUUUUUAUAGAUAUAAAAAAAUAUAUAUUUUUCAUCUUUCGCUUUAUUAUCUAACAAAAAUAGAAAGGGAUUUGAAAAGAAUUAUAUUUGUUUAUAAAUUGAUUCCCAACUACUGUCCCAGUGAAGAUAGACAGAAGCAGAGCUCCAUAUAUACCGGGAUCCAUUUGCAUCCUUGCUCUUUACAAAAGCAACUGCAACUGCAACCGCUACUUCCACAUUUAAAAAGGGGCCAGUAGCUGACGUGGCAGGCGUAACUCGCCCUCUUCUCCGCGACGUCUCAACUCUCAACCUCCGCCUGUUCCACCGACUACCUAAAACCUAUCGGACACAACUAUCGUCUUCCACGUUGGACCCCGCAAUCGCUCCCCUCUUCACUAAACACCCACUUUUCAUUAUCAAAACCUUAUCAAAAUUUGCAAAAGCCGCAAUGCCUGUAUAUAUAGAUAUAGAUAUCUCUCUACCUUCUCCCAUUUAUUACCCCCACGAGCUCCACCGCACACUCCACUCUCCCCCCCACCCCCUCCUCCUUAUCCGCCGCCGCCGCCACCGCCCCCGCCCCUUCCAACCCUAGCUCGCCAUGGCCGACCUCGGCGGCGGCGGCGGCGGCGGCGAUGGCGUCGACGAGGACGACGAGUUCUACGAGUACAACCCCCACCCCUAUGGCGGCGGCUACGACAUAACCCUCACCUACGGCAAACCCCUCCCCCCUUCCUCCGCCACCUGCUACCCCCUCUCCUCCUCCUCCUCUCCUCCUUCCCUGCCGCCGCAGCCUCCGGUGGAGCCGGCGCCAUCUCCGGCUCCGGCGCCGGCUCCAUCUCCUGCUCCGGCUCCGGCUCCGGCUCCGGCGGCCGAUGCUCCUCAGGCUCGCCCCGCCACUCCUCCCAACAUUCCCCUCCAAACGUCGACCUAUGCGCCGUACGAUUACGGCGAACCGGAGGGGUAUCGGCCGGAACCCUACUACUCGCCGGAUCUGUUCCGAUCGUGGCCGUACUCGAGCUCCGAGGGCUUCGGAGGGUGGCGGAGGAGGGAGGCGACGGAUUACGACUACUGGAAUCAGCUGAUGCGGGGGUUGGAUUACCUCUUCGGCCACACGCAGGGGUACGGGGAGCGAAGGAUCGGCGUUGAUAGCUACGGGAUCCCCAUUUACGCCAACAAGAAGAGCGGCGGCGAUGCCCUAACCGUAGAGGUCGAGCCCCCGUCGGUUCAGAGUUUGGAUGUCUACGCGAUGCGUGGUGAGCAAGUGUAUUCAGCGCAAUCAGAAAGUGUGAGUGCUUCAUUCAUUCUCUUUGAGUUUCCUUUGAGGCGAUCUUGAAGUAUUACUUAUAGUGAUGAUGCUCUUUUUGGGCAUUUGAAUGUAGUGGGAUUUGUGGCAUGGUGAGAGGAAAGAGGAGAGCUAUAGUUAUGGCGAAUCAAUUCAUGCCUAUGAUAGGUACUCCUAUGGGAAGCCAAUUAGUGUUCAAGUUGAGCCUCAAUGGAUUCAUAAAGUAAGCUACCACGAAGAUUAUCAAGAACAGAGAUACCAUAAUGAGGUGGAUAUGAGAUAUUUUACUUUGAAUUAUCAAGCAUUAUAUUUCUCUUGGUGAAUGCUUUUAUUAUUGUAGAUAACUAUGCAUGUAUUGUGUUCAUUCUAUUAUGAAAGGGUGAGGAGAGCAGUUUCUUUGGAAAUCCUAUCCAUGCCUAUGAUACACAUCACUAUACACAGCCACUGCAUGUUCAGGUUGAGCCAGCGGAAUCUUCUUGGUCACUAAAAUCGGAUUCCUAUGAGGUAUAUGAGCAAUUAGAGUUCCCCUAAAGUCCAAGUUCAUUUCCAAGUAGUUAAUGUGCUAGAUCUAGUUCUUGAUACUCAUUCCCUAAUUUAUAUUAUUUGCAAGCAGAAUUCUUCUCCAUAUGAUGAAAGAAGUGAGGCUCGUGAUCUUGAUACGUCAAGAUAUGCCUUUGAGCAGCACUCAUAUGAACAGCCCCGCUAUGUACAGCUUGAGCCUUUCAAGCCAUCAUGGUCGCAACAUUUGAGUUACUAUCAAGCCUGGGAGGAAGGGGCGGAUCCUGAGUCAAGCUAUGUGAGUCUACAAACUUGACCUGUCAUGUUACCUUUUGCUACAUGUUUAAUAUAUCUUCUUACAUAGAGAUUAAAAAAAGAUGACAAAAACUUCAGUUUGACCAUUUAGCUAACCAUUUUAGACAAAAGCUUCUUAAAAUUUACCUUUAAAGUUAGUGAAGUAUGUUGUUAUUAGUUAUUUAUUUGAAAUUUUCCUUCAUGAAUGCAGUGAAUGUAACCAUCACUAUGCUGACGGUUACAAUUAUGACCACCCUACAGUGUUCUCUUGAUGGUUACGGGCCAACAACCUCAUUGAUAUGGAAUUUUUAUGAAGUACUUUGAAAAUGAUCUAAGCUAUAAAGUGAGCCAAAUGCCAGCUCUUAGUGUCUUGUCAUGUAGAACCUGAAAAAGAGAAGGUUGAUGUUUAUACCUUACCAACACUACAUUAUUGGCUAAGCUGUAAGAAGUUGUGGUCCAUUGGGUAGUAUAGGCCAGGUGAUCUCUUAGUUGUUGGUGUAAUUAGGUCCUAGCAACAAACCAACUUCGAGCAACCUCUCCAAAUGCUCAAUCUUUGGAGGUUUCAUGCGCUUAUCACUUCGGAAGGUGAGUUCGUCCUUCCCCUUAAUGCGGUGGGCAUUUUAGGUCUUGUAAUGGAAGUUGAGGUUGUCUGCAUUGUUGGGGUGAGCUUGGCAGCAAAUGUUCAAGUGGUCUUGAUGGUGGUAAUGGCAAGGUUGGUGGCAAUUCAGAUACUUGUAGAUUUGGUGGUGGUGCUAGAGUGCUUGUUCAUAUCUACCUGGUGGUAUGGUUGUUUGAUUUUGGAGGGAGAGGUGGGGGAAUGCUAUUGGUUAUUGCUGUGUAGAAAGAAUAGAAAUAUAAGCUUGGAGGUAUAGGUUGCGGCUAUCAAUGCCUAUGAUCCAAUGAGGAAGAGAAGUUGAUGGCAGGGUUUGAGAUGGCAAAACUUACGCAAGAAUAUUUGCUCCAAAAGAAGUCAUUAUUUUUUUAAAACCUUUUAUCUCUCUAUCAAAACGUCAUAUUUCAAGCUCAAGCAUAAACAAAAAUAGUCCCUAGUUUUGAAACCUUUAUAAAAAUUAUUUUUUCAUUCCUAUUUGAGAUUUUUUUUUUCCAUGUUACUGGUGAGUUGACUAUUGUGGCAGCAUGGAGGGGUUUCACAACAUCGGUUUAACUCUCAUCAGUAUCUCGAGAUGCUCCAACUUCUUUUCUGUGAAUAGCUUUACAUGCAAAAUUAUCUCUUGCUUCUCUUUUGGAUACAUCAAUGCAAAAAUCUCGUUUGACAUUACUGAUUUUCUAGCAGAUGCCAAAUUACUACAAGGAUCAUGGGGAGAUGACCUCCCCCAAAUCCAAUUGGGUAAGCAUAUUAGAUAUGCUCUAAAUUUCUGUCUUUUUUCCAUUCUAAUUUAUAUCUUUUGUUUUAUGCUUAUACUACAUUUUCACAUUUAGAAUCAUUCAACGUUUGAAGAACAAAGCGAUGGGAGCACUCUCUUUUCUUCUCCCAACUACGCUUAUGAAAAGCACUACUAUGAGCAGCCUCAGAGUAUUCAGCUUGAACCAUUCAAGCCAAGUUGGUCAAUCAAUAACUCCCUUAAUAUCUUCGAGGAUGGGAUAUUUCACAAGUCUAGCUGGGUUAGCUUCUGAUCUCCAAAUGCUGCUCAUUUGUGUCCAUAUUGAAGCUUAUAGUUUUGAAUCACUCUUCAAGUUGCUUUCGCAUGUGGUUGCCUGUUAUGUUCAUUAUGUUUCUCAUCUUUCCUUGCUUUUACAUAAUUAAAAUGAGUACAUGAUGCUUCAGUGCUAAGGGCUGCGAUAAUUCUCCUUGUAUCCUUUCCUCUGUUAUGCUAAAUUUAUUGGGAUGAAAACAGACUACUGGUGCUUUCUUUUUCUGCCAUCGUCGCAAGCUUUCCUCAAAUCAACAACUUGUGCGGAGGAUUGUCAUAUUUUGCCAUGUUGACUUUGGAUCUAACUUGUGUCUGACUAUCUAUAUCUAUAUCGAGUAAUCCUCUUUCGGAUAUCUUCAUUCUCUGAUAGCAUUAUUGCACCUACUGCCCCAGCAUUUCACUUCUGCAAAAAUGGUUAACUUUUGCUUUGGAAGGUCCAUAGUGAUUGAUAUUUCUGAAUGGUUGGUCGAUUAGGAAACAACAUAUAUGAAAUUUGAGUUUAGCCGAGAUAAGUAUGAGGGUAACACCUGGGUUCCAUAUUUAGCUACAUGAUAAUAAGGGGCAAUCUGUUUUACAUGAACUAAUUAGUCUCUGAGCAAGUAAGCCAAACACUUGAGCCAUAAUAACCAACAUCUGUGUGCUAGUUCGUAUAUACUCCGAGAAAUUUCCUAGUGAAAGUAUUAGUUUAUACUACUUGAGUUUUAGUUUGAAACUUUGAAUGCUUUUGAUCGCUCAAUGCUAAUUUAUAUGUUGAGAGAAAUCAUUUGUUCCUGCUAUAUUUUAUAUCCUUCUAUUUGUUUCUUUAUUUUUAUUUUUUUGUUGCAAAAAUAUCGUAACUUUCACGACUUAGAAUUUCUAUAAACAGAUUUUAUUUAUUUCUCAACUUAUCAUAUUUUCCUCGUGCAUAUUCUGCAGGAUGAUGAAUCGUAUUCUAAGAACGACGACCAUUUCUUCCCCUUCCAGAAAUAUUCUGAGUAAAUGGUGAUGUACAAUUUUAUGUGCCUCCAUGCUUUGGAAGUGUAUGUAAGCAUUCAACUUGUACCCCUAAAAAGAGUAUAUAAGCAUUCAAUAAUUUGUACGAUGUUUCUGUAAAUGCGUCAGUAACUGUUUAUAUCGAAUAAGGUUUAUGAAUUUAAACGUUUCUUCAAAUGACAUUAUUCUCUAUUACAACCUAUUCAUUUGGAAUAUGAUUUGUUUCAUCCUUCUUUGUCCUCCUAAAUAAUUUGUUCCUUCCGAACAAUUUGAUGCUUUAGAGGCUCUGAAUAAUUUGAAAAUGCCUUGAAAGUUUUAUCUUUUGACGCUAAGAAAUGGUGGUGGAAACUGCCACAGGAGUUGGAUUUUGGAGGAGAAAUUGUUGCCUGUACAAGAUACAUUUUACUUAUGCACCAUAUAUAUAUAUAUAUGAAUUAUGCUACUAUACUAUCAAUAGUACCAAGCUCUUGGUACUAUUGAGUUUUUGGUCGUUGGAUGAAAGGAUGUGCGGUUAGAAUGAUAGUGGUUCUCGGUUAAAUUGAUAGUGGUCCCCUAGGGUUGAGUGGGUGGUUAGUUUAAUAGUAUAAUCUAACGGGUGGAAAUGAUCAAAGAAUAGAUCUAGCGGUAGAAAACUCAAUAGUACUAAGGGUUUGGCACUAUCAAUAGUAUAGUAGCCGGACUAUAUAUAUAUAUAUAUAUAUAUAUUUGAUGAUCUGACAAUCAAAUUGUUGAUGUAAUCUGCAUCUUUAAAGAGUCUAUUAUCUGUAUAUAAAAGUACAUGUUUUUAAAAUAAUUUCAGAAAUUAAUUGUAGAGAAAGGAUUAUUUCGAUUCAGAAGGAAUUAUUAUUUAAAAUUAAUUUUCUUUUGAUUUUACGGUCCAGACGCAGUCGAUAGUUUAUUAUUUGGAAAUUGGAAGUGUGGUUAGGGGAGCACCGUCGUCCGCAUGAUGACGGCCUACCCAGUCCACCUAAACAACGGACGGAUGUGAUUGACCUACAGACUAUUCAACGCCAUCCGGACCCUCGGAGGAGAAAUUAUCGCGUCAACCCGGUGCAAUCAUAUGCCUGUGCACAGCCCACCGUUUAUCCCUUCCUCAUCCGAUACUUAAAUCUCCACCCUCCAAUAUUUCUCAGUUACUCCCCGGACGGCAGGAAGGGCCCAUGGAUGACGAGCGGUGCACGUGUGUACGGAUGCUCCUGAUGCAGGCAAAUAAUUUUCUUGUCGUAGGUGGUUGGGAUUAGUGAACGAACAUUUGGUGGGAUGAUCCCCAACGUGAGACCCUCAUCUCCCGUUAACGCGUUCAUAAGAUUCGUGUCAUUCACGUGAUGAACGGCGGAUGGAGGAGUCUCACGCUGGGAUUAUCCCCAUCGAUUUUUUUUUUCUUUUAGUUGUUGCUGGGUUUCGAAUAUACCGUACUCCCCCGCAUCUCUCUCUCUCUCUCUCUCUAUCUCAUCCAAACCCUCACCUUCCCAAUCUCUCCCCCAAUUCGCCCUUUCCCCCUCUCUCUCUCUCUCUCUACUCGCGGGAGCUCCGAUCUCGCCGUUUACCGGGUACGCCUCUCUCUCUCUCUCUCUCUCUCUCUCGCGCGCGCGCGCGCGUUUUAGAAGAGUUGGAAUCGAAGGAUUUGAGUUUUAGGCGCCUACGCAUCAUGAACAGGGUUUGCUUUGACUUUGAAGCUUCUACUUUCCACGUUUGUAGCGUUAAAAACCAUUCCUUUAGCUCUUUCCCCUUUUUCUUUGGUUGUUUCCUUGUCUUUGUUGCGCUAAAUUUGGUGUUUUGGGGACGGAGAACGAAUUUUUAGCACCCGAAUUACUUUGUACACCCCACUAAAUUUCUAAAGAAACGCUUAGGACCAAAGAUCAAGGGAGAAAUGAAGGGGAUUUUGUAACAAAGAGGGGUUUUGAAAUUGUUCUAAUUUGUGGAUGAGGGAGAAUUGGUAUGGCACAAUGACUGAAAAAGUGAAAAUUUGGGAAUCUUUUGAAAUCCUUGGAGAAAUCAAGAACAUGCGUAUACAAUUUCAGCUGUCUUAUAAUGACGUUAGUUAAGUUUCUUGCAAGAUAUUUUGACAUGUGAAUCCCCUAAUUCUUUCAUUAAAUAAUUGAUUUAAUCUAUUUGAAUAUCACCCGAAUUUGUUCAUGGCCUCGAGCCGCCUAAACUGGCGAGGGUUGUAUGCAAAUGGCAAAGAUGUAUACCAACAUGCAUAUCCACGUCUCCAAACACGGCUGAGUUCCACCUUCUCUAUUCAGUUCCAGUAAUACAGGUUCAAAACACGUUGGACCUAUUUUUCGCCUUAUCAUUGUAUGUUUUUUUUUGAUUGGUAGAUCCAAGUCUGCGACAAAUAGUUAGACGGUAAAUCAUGCAUGCUGUUCAUGUUGAAUACCAAAAUAUUUCCUUUUUCUUCAUUGCUUUUUUGCUUCCAUAGUCAUUCCAAUUACAUGACAGCUGUGGUUAUUGAGAGCUGACUGCAAGCUUCUUUUUGGCAGUGAAGUUCAUAAUCUCUUUCUUAGAAAAGAUCUCCAUCAUGAAAUUUUUGGAAUACACUCCGCUAGACAGGUAUAUUUUACUGGAAGGGGAUAUUUUUUUGAUAUGCUUACGAGUUCUUAGAAAGAUAGUAUUUGUUCUCCUACAAUUUACUGUAAUUAAUUCUUGGAACCUUUUAUAACUUUGUUUAGUAUAAAUCAAUUCCUGAAUCACUUGAACCUCGGAGAAUGUACCAUCAAGGGGAAUCUUGAGGCAUUUUCAUGUAAGUAUGGCUCGCAUGUAUUUUCGGAACUGUGUAUAUCAUUGGUUAAGUGAAUGAAGCUGAAGUAGGGACCAACAUGCAGGCAAGCAUACGGGGACUGAUCGGAAGCUCUCUAUUAGUUUAGAACAUGAGGUAGCUGCGAGAUUCCAUCUUGCUUGAUAUUAGCUUAUAAGGUUCUUGGGCUAUCUGUCACAACUAUAGGACUUAAGCUGGUUAUUUACUUUCAUGAUCAAAAUUUUAUGCUAUCCUGAAUGUGAAUGACUGUGCAGAUAUUUUGAUUCAUUACACAUAUGUUCUUUUCUUCUCAUUAACAUGCUAUAUUAACGAGUGUUGUGGUUCCUUGCCCGUCUUGGAAGUUUUAGAGUUUGUGCACCGUCUGAAAUAUCAGAAGAAUAAGACAUUAAGACUUUAAUGCUUAAGUGGAUAAACUUCACUGUUAUGUACUCAGGACCAGAAUAUUAGGCAAUUGAGUGAGGAUAAACAAGACUAAGGGAUAUUAUAUUAAUAAGAAAAUAUCCAAUUUUGUUUUUAUUUCUUGGGGCAUGUGUAAAUAGGUUUGACAAUUAAGAAACUUAGCUCAUUUAUUGUGGUGUGGCCAUAGUUUGUUACUUCUUUUGUACUUUCCCAUCCAACUAAUGAUGGCUGCUAUUCAGCUUUAUCAGUGUGGACAAAAAUACUUUCUCUUAGAUCUCUGACUUCUUUUCUUUCUUGUAUUUUGAGUUCAGAACACUGUUUUGGUACAAAUAUUGUGAUAAUAUACUAUAGCUUUGUAGGAAUAGGGUUGUGUUGAGUCAACUGUUUUGUUUGGCUCUUUGACCUUUAACAUCAACUGCUGUCAUUUCCAUACAUAAAAUAGAUGUAUAUAUGGAUGGUCAAACUAGGGGCUUUAUGCCUCGAAUGCAUGAAUUGACAUGAUAUAAUUGGUCUUGACUAGGUUGGCACUUCUCUGUGGUUCUGUUGACUGCAUAUUUUAUUAAUUUGACCUUUUGCUAGCUCAGAUUCUGGAUUACCUCAGCCAAUCUUCUGAUAGUGAUCCUCCUUCCCCUGUGGAUUAUUUGUCUAGUAGAUCAAGGUACUUGAGCACACUUAUCCCAACUUUCUUUUCUUUCAUUUUUUUUUUUUUAAUUUUCUUGUGCCUGAUUAACCGUGUUUUUCACUGUUGGUUCCAGCCGAAAAACGCUGAUAUAUCUCGUCCUUACUCUCAGUCAUAUGUAUCCAGAUUAUGAUUUCAGGUAUCUCUGUCAUAACAUGCACUAAGCUUGAAGAAAUAACUGGGAGGAAGGAUGAUGGGUACUGCCAUUGUCAGCUUAUUAGGCGACUUGGCAACCCGCUGUAUAUCCUUGCAUAACCAGCAUGGGGAGUGUUGUCAAAUGGCUUGACAGACGGUUAAUACCGUUGCUCUUUGAGCUGAGAGUUCAAAUCUCUCCAUUUCCCUUAAAUGGUGUUAUUAUUAAUGCUGCUUGUACUUUAUCAAGGAAUUUUUACGUAUACCCUGCAAAAUCAUCCAUUUACACACAUACUUAUACAUAUAUCCCCUUUGGGAAACGUCCGCUCUUAUAAACUUUUACUAAUUUAUAGGCAGUCUCCUCUCAUGAAAAGCUAUAUUUUGGAAGAAGCUAUACAGUUUUUGAGGGUUAUAUAUGAGAAUUUGAUUUCGCAAGAGUUUAUAUUUAAAAUAGAUGAAUUUGGAGGAGUCAAAUGUACAAUGUCUUUCAAGUUUAUUGUAACAUUACGUUACCAACUUUUUGGCUGAGCAGUGCAGUGCGAGCUCACCUGUUUUUCAAAGAAGAAGAGUGGGAUAGUUUCAAGCAGAUAAUCGACACCUACUUGUUUGAGGCAGCUAAGGUAUGCUCAUUCCUCACAAUUAUACAUUAAAUUAAAGGAAUUGAUUACAACUUGCUGUUUUUUUAAUCUUACAUUACUACCGCAUGCGUAGCUCACAUUCUCAAAGGGAAAAUUAAUUGCCAAAUAUAGUUCUCUUAGGAAAAUCUGAUAAAUAUCUCUGCUCUGUCCUUAAUCAACCCUCAGUUCUUUUCUUCCUGGCUUUUUCAGGAAUGGGAUACAUCUACUGUCGGCAGUACCCUCCUAGAAAGCAUGACUAAGGCCAUUGACGAGGUGUACAUUUGACUUUCUGUCUAUUGACUUCGGAGUUAGAUGUACUGUGUCAUUGGAUAUGUACCUUCCUCUCUCAUGCAGGUUAUCAAAAUAAAGGAGUGCGAGAUCUACAGUUACAACCCGGACUUUGAUGGGGACCCGUUUUCAGAGAAGGGAGCCAUGUAAGCUCCUUUGAAUUUCAAUAAUAAAACGGAAUUCACCUUCUCAUAUAAAUUUUUUCAGCUAUUGAUGUGGGAUUCUUUUUAUUGCAGAUGGUCAUUCAACUUCUUUUUCUACAAUAGGAAGCUAAAGCGCGUAGUCAGCUUCAGGUGCUGUUGUGUAAGGUAGGCCUGUAAAUCACCCCUAUCUCAUAACAUGAAUCAUUUUGUUAGAAAAGGCGUCUAAUUCCCUCCCGCGCUAUACCCCAACUCCAGUUUAACACUUGGUGGUUCGGAUUGUGACACUCUCACCUUUAGGUUGCUAUUCUUCUUACCAUAUCGAUUUUAGCUUUAGAUGUGUUAAAAUGGGACGCGACAAAAAACAUGGCUUGUUAGACCAUUUUGUUUUGGCGAGCCAAAUUGUUGCUACUUGCUCAAUUUUGCCCUAACAAACAGUGCUGUAGGGCGAUGCCAAAGGGGAGCAUUGAUUUUUUUCUUUUUUUUUUUGGCUCAAAAAUAGUAAUGGACUACUCGGAUGGUUCCUGGACCACAGUAAAUUAUAAAUAAAUUUCUGUUUUAUUCCAGCAACUUAGCAGGCGACAGUUUUCUUUCGGAUGAGGCGUUCAGCGACGAAGAAGAGGAGGACUUGCUCAUCGACAUGGAUAUGUAACCGUCGCCGGUACUGUUCAGGACCAACUCUAAUACCAUCUUCUAUUGUAUAAUAUGUUAUCGACGCUUCGAACUAGUCGUCGGGUAGAAUAGCUAUCUGUACAGGUGGAAGAUGGGAUUAGGGCAUGUUGCUAACUCGUCGUCGUUGUCGUGUAUCUAUAUGUUAUAGUAAGCAAUAUACAAUUGCAUAGUCGGUUUGUUGUAGUAUGUUGAACUGGAGCAGGCAAUGUAAAUGAUGAUAUAGCCUAGGUAGUAGGUACUCUUUUGGAACAAUGGGGUCAAUCACGCGCGUAGGGAUUCCUACGUACGAUGUUGUAGGAAAGGCGUGCCCAUCUAGUCUAGUUAUAAUAUGUAAGAAAUUUAAGCUGAAUCUUUUAAGCUGAGGUUUAGUCAUGGACCAAAUUAUAGUAGUACAUGUUACGCAGCUUUUAAGGACCAGAGGACAAUUUGUAAUGUUUUCUGAUUUUUAUCGUAUUUUAUGCGGCAAGUAUUCGAGGCACUAGUCAACAUGCUCUGCUCGUUUUGGCCCAAACACAUGCAGUGCUUUCCCAAGAAUUUUCUAUUAUGUUGGCUUGAUUGUUCUUUUAGUUUGUGUGAUGUUUCGAUUUCCAAAGUUCAAUUUAUUGUGAUAUUUUUGCGUGAACUUUUUAAAUUAUUGUAAUUAAGUCUUACAAUGCAAUUUAGUUGAUCAAAAAUAGUGUCGUUAGUAUAGUAGCGAGGUAACAGUAUUGUGAUCGAUGACAUAAGAAUAAUUAAAAUGCCACGUCACUGCCGCACAGUAUCAUUCAAUUGUCGCAAUGUAUAAAGUUCGAGUUGGAAAUUUGUAAUAAAUUGAAGUUUGAACAUAAAAAAUGCGAUGCGGAUCAAAAGGGCAAUUCAGCCUAUCACAGAAACAUCAACUUUGAAAUGAAGCUUUUAAUUUGUUUCUGGAACGAGUUUACUCCGUCCUUUCCCUACAGCAAAAGCUCAAUUUUUACUUUUAUUUUUUUUAUUUAUCGCUUUUGAAGCAAUUAGUUCAGAAGCCAAGCUAAAUAUGCACUGAAAUAUUUUCAUUUUUCUUCCUCUCUAGAUACGAAAGCUUCUUUACAAGUAGAAGAAACUUUCAUAUGGGUAAAAUUAAGUACGUAAACCUUCCGCAAAAAGAAGAAGAAAAGAGGACUAACUCAACUCUUUGACAAGGAGAAUAUAUCUGACAUUUAUUAUUAGUUUUUUUGAGAAAAAAAUAGCACGAUAUCCAUUUUAUUCAUUCAGAUAAUAAAUUUAGCUACAUAAAGUGAGACAGUAGAGACCUCAAGAGAAAGAAAAAAAAAUAAAAGAAAAGAUCCAAAAAAAGGUAAAUUAAGAGUAAUAAAAAGGUUAAAAAAAUAUCAUAACGUCAAAUCGUAUACGCAAAAAGAUGGAAAUAUCACCUGGCUCGACAGAACACCGUCCAUUCUGUUGUCACUUGUCAGUUUCGUGACGCGUAGAUGAGGCAUUAAUUGUUGAGGUACUGUAGAUGAGGCAUUAAUCAAGGGAAAAGUCCAUGCUCAUUAGUUAGAUAUUUUUAGAUGGAAAUUAUAAUUGAUAGCUACCCAAAGAGCUGAAUAUAAGAUAAGUAGUACCUUAAUAUGUUAUUUAAGGUCUUAAACUAAGUCCUUUUGUACUCUAAUCUUAUUAUUUAUAUUUGUUAGCCUAUAAUUAUUAAAACACCGUUAUCUGGUACUUAAUUAGUUUUCAAAGAGAAAAGAUUAUGAAUUAUUUCACAUGGUAUUACAGCAAGAGAAGUAUAGUUCAAACAUAAAAAUCGAAUUUCUCAUUACAAUUUAUAUCUUUCUCUUUGAUAUAAGAGUAGAAGGUCACGAGUUAAAGCACAUAGUACUGUUUAUUAAUUUAUUAUAGUAAUUUCGCUCUGUGUAUAAUUUUUUUUAUGGCACCAAACUAUAAUUUCCGUACAAAAAUUUUCUGUCUCUUUUUUUGAAUAUAGAAUAAUUUUUUCUGUUAAAAAGGCUUAAAUUUGUACUUUAAGAAGGCGUAUUAAACAUAACCACUAAAACAUGGCCACGCAUUAAUUAUAUGAUUGUGAGACAUUAUCUUCAAUGGCCAUGCAUUAAUUAAUUAUAUUUAAAGCAUUAUAGCAAGUGUUAGGGUGAAUUACUCUUCCCAUGCUCUUUGUAUAAAAUAAAUAGCUCUACAUAAGUUACAUUGAUUCGUCGUUCAUUAAAUACACUAUGUCAAAUAAAAAGCUCUUCUAUAUGGUUGAUUAAUUAAUUCCACCAUUAACCUCUUUAUAUCAUUUAUUUAAGCCUUUUCUUUUAUUAUUAUAUAUAUGAAACUUAUAAUGGUCUACAUAUAUGUUCCUUUCUCUAAAUAAAUAAAUAAAUAAAUAAAAAGCCGGUUCUAAGGAGAAUGAAAAAUUAAAUGUAACUUUUUGAGAAAGUACAUAGUGACAAAAUAAAAAUGAACUAAAUCACAGACCACAAAUUAAAGUUUACCUAAAAUUCGUAGUAAUUAAAAUUAAAACAAUAGAAACAAUUUGGUUGCUUUUAUCAUCUUUGACAAGUCAACGGGACCUCAAUUUAAAGACUUUUUUUGUUUGCUUGGCUAUUUUCUACUUUAGAAUUUUUUUAAAAGAAUUUUAUAAGAUUUAUCGAUUUUCGUCAAAAGUUUUGAAUAUUACAUUAAGCAACAAAAUAUAAAAAUAUCCUAUUUGGUUGUUGAACAUUAAAACUUGGGCUUUUUUUGCAAAUAGUCCUUUGAUAAAUUUUAUUUGCAAAAAUAGUCCCGUCCAAAAAUUAUUUGCAAAAAUGGCCCUGCCCCUGCCACGCCAGCGCCACGUCACCGCCACGCGAGCAGGGCGGGCCCAGAUGUUUAAGUUGAACACGGUGAACCAUUCACCGUGUUCAAUACAAGAUUUUUGUAUUGGACACGGUGAAUGGUUCAUCGUGUCCAAUACAAAUACCCCAACAAUGACUAAGUGGGAGGUAUUUGUAUUAAACACGGUGAACCAUUCACCGUGUCCAAUUAUUUGUAUUGGACACGGUGAAUGAUUCACCGUGUCCAAUACAAAUAUUUCGAUCUUAGUUAUUUUGUAUUGGACACCGUGAAUCAUUCACCGUGUCCAAUACAAAAACUUUGUAUUGAACACGGUGAAUGGUUCACCGUGUCCAAUACAAAAAUUUUGUAUUGAACACGGUGAAUGGUUCACCGUGUUCAACUUAACCAUCUGGCCCAGCCCCGCCCGCGUGGCGCUGACGUGGCGCUUGCGUGGCGGGGCCAGGGCCAUUUUUGCAAAUAAAUUUUUGACAGAGCCAAUUAAAAAAAAAAAAUUUGUAAAGGGGCUAUUUGCAAAAAAAGCCCAAACUUAAACUUAAAGUUUUUAAUGCUUAUAGAUAUAUAUAUAUAUAUCUUCCAAUAUUAAUUUUAUGGGACCCAUGACCCAUGUUCUAUGGUGGUGGAAAAGUAAGAGAAAUCAAUUAAUUUAAUUAUAAACAAUGCUUAGUUUGACCAAAUUCCAUGAACGUGUUGACCAAAUACCUGUCUUUUCCCUAUUGGAAAUAAAAUAUAAAUCCCACGAGAAAUUACCAUCAUAGACCCGGUCCACCACAUCAUCAAAGCACUUUCCUUUCCUCUAUAAUUUAAGCCUUUUGUUCGCAAAUGAACCGCACAAAAAAUUAUUUAGUUUCUUAAUUAUACAGUAACUUUACAACCUAUUAAAUAUAUAGUAAGUAGUUAAAAAAAGGAUAAUAUAUAAUAUGCUCAUCAAAACUUUAAAAAUUAAAAAAAUUCUUCAAAUAUAACCCUAUUCCUAGGAUUAUUUUCAAAAAUGAGGUGCAAAUGUGAAAGUUUUUAGUAGUAGUAAUAACACUUAUAAAAACAAAAGUAUCCCAACAAAAAAGUGUAAAAAAACAAGAAGUCAUGGUGCACCAGGUCCACGCAAAUUUGGCGUAGACUUGGUCACUUAGCAAACGUAGAUUCUCGUACUUGGUAAACAAUUUUGCAAACAUAGAUUUUUUUUUUUUUUUUUUUUAUGACAAAGGAAAUAUUUUAAUAUUUAAAUAGUAUUUAAUUUAAAUUUACUCCUCCCUAUAAAAUCAAUUAUUGGGCACUGAGGUUGCUGUUUCUUUUUCAAGCUCUUAGAAGAACUCUUCAAACCUUUCAUUUGUAUAAGAAACUAAUUUUUUCUCCCUUUAUUCUCAUACAUAUACCCAAAAAUUUCUCCUUUUUGUGUGUAGCAUAUGAUUCAUAAUUGAGAGUUUGGGGCUGGGUUUUAAUGGUGAUGAGGUCUCUUCUUCUACUGUUCCUCUGCGUCACUUGUUCCGCGUAUACUAAUCCAUCAGAUGGUAAGUUUUUAUUUUUUUUUAAAUUUUUUUUUUGUAGUUAAUUUGUGAUUUGAAUUAAUUUGUGAUUUGAAGUGAAGAUGCAUGGUUGAAUUGGAAAAGAGAUGGCUUUGUAGAUUUUUUGGUCAAGCGUAUCAUGUGUUCGGUGAAUUUCCCCUGUGGGAGUUUGCUUUGUUCGUAGUAGUGAAUUGAGCUACUAGAUUGGUCUUUUAGGUAACAAGAUGGUAUCAGAAUAAUUACUAAGAAACCCUCAAUUUCAUGAGAUUGUGGGUCAAAUUUUCAUCUUUCACCUGUUUCGUCAUUUCUUCUGUUACAGUUCAUGUCGCAUGAUUCACCUGAUCUUCACCGUGCAUAUAAUAUCUACAUGCCAAAAUUCUUGUUCUUAACCCGUGGGUUUACGGUGAUCAUGACUAUCUUCAUCAAUGUUUAUUUUUGAUAUUAGAACAAUUUGUAAUGCGGUGAUAGGGAUUGUUUAACUUUUUAUUACAUAUUGAUCUGUGAAUUAGUUAAAACAAGUUAGCUGGUUUUUUGCUUAUUGACUUCUAGAGAUGAUUAGGAAGGUUGUAGUAAUAGGGAUUCACUAGAUAGUCUCUUAGGAUGCUGAUUAAACCAAUGAAAUACACGUGCAGUUUCGGCUCUGAAGUCGUUGAUGAAGCAAUGGAAAAACACGCCACCGAGUUGGCAGCAGUCGAAAGAUCCCUGCGGCGAACGGUGGGAUGGAGUGAUCUGCACCAAUUCGAGGGUGACCACACUGUGAGUUUUAGUGCUUUCUCAGUUUGUCAUAUGUCUAAUAAUGAGCUGCCGUUUUCUUGACCCGGUUUCGAUGUUUUCAGGAAAUUAUUUAGCAUGGGCCUUGAAGGUACAUUAAGCGACGAUAUAGGGAAGCUUGAUCAACUGCAGACCUUGUAAGUUUUUCAUCAUAAGAUACUCUUGUAGUCCCUAAAGUGUGACCUUCGUUUAAAAUUCGUUAUUUGAGUUUCAAUCUGUAUAUGUGAAAUUGAUCCCAUUUUCAUUUUGAUUCUCAAGAAUUUCAAUCUAGUACCUAAAUUUUGGCAUAGAUUGCAAUAUUGAACCUGAAAUGUAACCUUGAUUUCAAUUUUGCUCUUAUAUUUUCAACUUUAACCAAUAAGAGUUUACCGACCGUGCCGAUACGACACCUCUUUCUGAUCUAACAUAAGGACUUACUUUGUGGCACAGAACAAAUUUUAGGGACUAAAUUAGUGAUUUUCCAUUUGUUUGAUCAAUGCAGUUAUGAAUUCAGCUAUCCUGUCCUGAUACACAUCAAAUAUUCAACUAGCAAAAAUAAUUUUAACUGCAGGGACUUGUCCUACAAUCACAAACUUGGAGGUCCACUCACACCAGCAAUUGGGAACUUGACACAGCUAACUUCCCUGUAUGUUUUUCCAGCUUACUAUUAUAAUUACAAUCCAUGCAUUUUGUUACGAUAACAUUUGUGCUCAUAAGUAACUCAUUUAAUUAAUUUACUACUCUAUCUGAACUAUUAAAUAGGAUCCUGGUUAAGUGUAGCUUCACCGGUAGCAUCCCAGAUGAACUAGGCAAUCUACGGCAACUCACCUUCUUGUAAGAUUACGAUCAUCAUAUAGCUCUCUAGUUGUUUGAUCAUGUAAAUAGCAAAUCGAUGACCAAUGGAUGCAUAUAAUUAGUUCUUUAAUUUUCUGCUGCAAGGGCGCUGAACUCAAACAAGUUCAUAGGAAGGAUACCUGCUACAUUGGGAAAGCUUUCGAACAUCUCUUGGCUAGACCUUGCUGAUAAUCAGCUGAAUGGAACUCUCCCGCUGUCAACGAAUGCGUCUUCGGGCUUGGAUCAACUCCUCAAUGCACAACAUUUGUGAGUUUCUUUUCUUUUUCAUUCUCCGUCCAUACACAGAAUGUUGUAAAGAUGUAUCUACAUACGUAACCCUGAAAAAAUUGUAUUUAUAUAUACACACGUGUAAAAUUUGAUCUAUGCCCUUUACCUACGAAAAGAUAUAAAAAAACCAAACUUCCCAAGAAUUGGAUGUGAGUACCAGGGUAUGUAUGUAACCAAAUGCUUUCGCAGGUUAUACAUGUAAAGACCCUAUAAUAAACUAGUGUGGCUUAUUUUUAUUGCUUGGAGAGCUAUAAUUAGUUUCAUGUGUGCUCCUGCAGCCAUUUAAACAAGAACCAGUUAUCGGGUUCGAUACCAAAAAAUCUUUUCAAUGCCAGUAUGACACUACGACACCUGUAAGUUAAUAUUUAUUAUGCACUUGUUUUAUUCUGCUACAUCUCCUUUUAUUCUGUCUAAUCAUCCCUUGAAAGCAGGCUUCUUGAUAGAAACCAAUUAAUAGGGGGGAUUCCAGAGUCGGUCGGACUUGUGGCCUCACUUGAGAUCCUGUAAGUGUAAAAUUGAUUUGCCCCUGUACUCUAAAAUUACUUAAAGUGACUAUUUGGCGCGAAUUAUAGAGAAUGUCAUCUGAUCGGAGGAGCAACAGCCAAGUGUUUGGCAAAUAAGAGUUUUGGAGCUUUUGCUGUGGGGAAGCUGAAAUGAGCUUUCGAGACUCAUUAGCAGAAGCUCCAAAGUGAAGUUUCUGCUUUAACAACAGCAAAAAGCUGUUGGAGGGACUUCUACUAUAGUAGUGCUUCCUCCAGUAGUUCUACUCAAAUAACAUUUCUGCUGAAGCUCCACUAGGCCAAAGAAACUCUAAUGUUAAUAGGACGGAUUUCUAACUACAGCACCCUCUUUCAUGCAGCCGCCUGAACAACAAUAACCUGACCGGCACAGUUCCUUCAAGUAUUAGAAAUCUUCCACAUCUCCACGUACUGUAAGUAAUUACAUCACAUAACAUGGACCUGACUCUUAACGAUCACCUUUAUUUGUACUAACAUUCAUUUUUCGACUAAAAUACAUGUUGUAGAAAUAUAUCAAACAACAAUCUUAAUGGACAAAUGCCCAAUUUAACGGGGAUGACUCGUCUUCAAAAUGUGUAAGAACUCCAUAAACUAUAUUUCCAGUUUUCUAGACUUUGCCCUGUCAAUCAAAUUGCAGCUAAGUUGCCUUAUAUUUUCUGCAGUGAUAUAAGCAACAAUAAAUUUGAUCCUUCAGAAGUUCCUAGUUGGUUAACGGGUUUGACAGGCCUAAGAACUCUGUAAGUUCUUCUAAAGCAUUAUUGAAUUGUGAACUAGGUGUUUGGUUCAUAAUAAGUAAACUUAUCUAAGGUUUCUUCAUGUUUUGAUGUCUCCAGUAUGAUGCAGUCUGCUAGGCUUCAUGGACAAGUGCCGCAAGAAUUGUUCAGCUUUCCUGGUCUGGAGAAAGUGUAAGGAACUUAAACAAAAAGUACACUUCUUUUUUUAAAGCGAAGUGAUUAUAUUAUUACGAGGUUUAAUUCUAUUGAGAGAUGAAAUAAAUGAAAAAUAUAAUAGUUAAGGUCCGAGUAUUUAACUGCUGUCUGACUAUUUUAACUGAUGACAGAAUGCUGGACAACAAUGAAUUGAACGGAACCCUUGACAUGAGCAACAACAUCAGCAAGAACUUACAGAUUGUGAGCUUUGAAAACAAUUCUAUUAACUCGAUUACACUAUCUUCCAACUACAACAACACACUAAUGUGAGUCAUUUCCAUUAAUUGAGUAGAGUGUGAAUCAUUUCAUUACGAAUUGAUUCUAGUGUGCUAUUUCAAUUCCUCUCCAUAUUUCCUCAAGUAUUUGAUGUUCCUAUUUGUGUUUGGUGAUUGCAGACUUUCAGGAAAUCCUGUAUGCAGCAACCCCCAUCUCUUGAAUACAGCUUAUUGUGAGAUACAGCAAGAAACAUUGACGCCUAGUUCGUCUGAUAAUAUAACUUGUUCCCACCCAUAUGAGGGUGUUAUGAUGUUCCGUGCUCCUUCGUUUGGCAUUAUGCUGGACGAGUUCAUCUCAAAACUGGAGGCAAAUGUAGCAGCAAAUCUUAGCUGUACUCCACAUAGCUUGACUCUCGAAGAUCCCUUCUUCGAUGAGGAUGGGUAUCUUGAGGUGAAGCUGGUAAUCUGUCCAUCUAAUAAAAACUACUUCAACCGUUCUGAGAUAUUGGAUUGCUUCGAUAUAAGCAGCCAAAAGUUUAUACCACCGGAGAUGUUCGGACCAUACUAUCUUUCUGCAAAUCCAUAUUCAUUUCAAAAUCGAGGUCUGCGCAAUAAUUCUUUAAUUUGGAAGCAGAUUUUUUGCUUAUUUUGCUACUCAUAGAAUACUGAUGAAAAUAAGUGUGACAGUUAUCAGAGGAUUGGCAAUUGGAAUGAUAAUUGGUUUUUCUCUCCUGCUCAUUGGACUUGUGGCGCUUCUACUCUUUGCCCUACGGCAAAAGAAACAAGCUCAGAGAGCCAUUUCGCUGAGCAAUCCUUUUGGUAAUGUGUUUGUUGAAACAUAGAAUACUGAUGAAAACAUAUCAUAUUGUCAUUAUUAAACAUUCACAGAAUUGCGUCUGAGUGAAUAUAUUCUCCAAUAUUUCAGCAUCGUGGGUGUCAAAUGGUGAAGAAAGCGAUGGGGCACCGCAACUAAGUGGGGCAAAAUGUUUCACUUAUGACGAACUAAAGAGGAGCACUAAUGAUUUCCGAGGCAUUAAUGAAAUUGGAUCAGGAGGCUAUGGAAAGGUAAACCAAUUGAUUUUUAUCUACUGUGGAUGUCUAAGAGGAAAUCCGUGUGAGCUUAUUAUUGGUUUGGUUCCUUCCAGGUCUACAAAGGAAUGCUUCCCGAUGGAAGGAUAGUCGCAAUUAAGAGAUCUCAGCAAGGCUCAAACCAAGGUGGACUAGAAUUCAAGACCGAAAUCGAGCUUCUCUCUAGGGUUCAUCACAAAAAUCUGGUUGAACUAGUUGGUUUUUGCUGCGAGAAAGGGGAACUAAUCCUUGUUUACGAAUUCAUGAGUAACGGAACUAUAAGAGAGACUUUGUCAGGUAUGUUACUUACAAAAGUGCCUCUCUUCAAAAAUCUUUUUGUGAUAUCUCCUAUUUAUUUAUUUAUUUAUUUUGUUUCCAAAUUCCAAUAUUGCAUACUACUAUUGCAGGAAGGAGUGGCAUACAAUUGGACUGGACCAGGAGACUUAGGAUAGCUCUGGAUUCAGCUAGAGGAUUAACUUAUCUUCAUGAACAUGCUAAUCCUCCGAUUAUUCACAGAGAUGUCAAGUCUUCGAAUAUCCUUUUGGAUGAGAAAUUGACAGCAAAGGUCGGGGAUUUUGGUCUCUCGCUACUGGUUGCAGACAGCGAGAUGGGUCAUUUCACUACGAACAUUAAAGGAACACUGGUGAGUGUCCAAUUCCUUAGUGACCAUCUUGUUCGUGAUUUCAUUUUCGAAACUAGAUUAUUUGUAGGCAUGUAGUUUACAAUAAUCUGUAUAUGUAUAUAUACAUGUAUCUUUGAAUUGAAUAAUUUCAAUUUAAAAAUUGUCUUCAAUCUUUGGAUCCUUAUCAGGGUUAUCUGGACCCGGAGUAUUAUAUGACGCAGCAACUGACGGGGAAGAGUGAUGUUUAUAGCAUGGGAGUGGUAUUGUUAGAGCUGAUAACUGCGAUGCUGCCUGUACAUAACAAAAAACACAUUGUUAAUCACGUGAAAAUCGCACUGGAUAAGCAAGACAAAGAAUUCUGCGGUUUGAAGAGUAUAAUAGAUCCAGUUAUCUCUAAUUCCGGAAAACUCGUUGGUUUUGAGAGCUUUGUGGAUUUGGCACUGCAAUGUGUAGAAGAAUCAGCCGAAAACCGACCGACAAUGAGUGAUGUCGUAAAGGAGAUCGAGGCUAUCUUGAGGAAUAAUGGAAUGAAAACUACCUCAACUUCAGAAUCUUCAUCGCCCGCAGAUUUUACAAGUUCGAAAGCUCGUUACCCUUACGAUGAUCUAUAUUCUAGAAGCCAUGCGAGCAGCAGUGCUUUUGCGUACAGCGGUGGAUUUCCUUCUCGAGGCAGCUCGAGGCCGAGCAGCAGUUAAUCUUUCUUGGCACUUCAAUUUUAGUUUCAGAAGUUUCGUUGCAUAAUUUGAAUCAUUGGAUGCCCUUCUCACCUCCUUGUCUUUUUGAAGAAUAAUGAGAUACAUGAAGGAGCAAUUGGAAGAGAUACUAGUUCAUAGAAAGGUAAUUAUGUUUAGGAUGUAUAAAGGAUUUUUCUUUUCUUUUCUUUUAAGUGUUAAUGUAAAAUGGUUUUGGGUUGAUAAAUGUACAAUUUGUGACACCACCAAGUUUUCUGUAAUUUUUCUUUGUUUUUAUUGAAACUCGAGUAGACCAUUUUGCGAGCUUAUUUCAAAAUUUUCAGGCUUUUCUCAUGAGAAGGGAAUCUGCUAAGCAGAUUUAGAGCAUUACUCAUUCAGAUCAAAUGUGUGAUUUUUUGAUAUUCUCCAAAAUCAUUACCACAUUCUUUGUUUCUAAUUCCUUCUUUGAAUUUUGUGUGACGACCCGAUCCACUAGCAACAAUAAUUUGUUUGGCUCAAACCAUCGGUCCAAAAUGCCUAAUCAGAAUAUUAGAAUUAUUUUUUCACCCGAUGUGGGACUAUUAGAGCAUUACAAACUCUCCCUGUCUAAACUCUGACGUCUUUGUCGGGUCCAAACUAGAUUAUAGAUACAGACCAGAAUUACCAAAUGAUAAGGGAUUCUCGAGGUGGUUCCUACGGGUUCAAGAGGUAGCUUCCACCAAAUCCGUUGGUAUAGCACUUUGUCCCGCAUAACUUUUAGCUCUUACACUUCCAGCUGGUAUUCGGCUCUGAUAUCAAUUGUAACAAUCCGACCUGCUAACAACAAAAACUUGUUCGGCCCAAACUACCGGCCCAAAAUACUUAAACUCAAUUAUUAUUAUUAGCGUAUAGGCCUCAUAUAUUAUAAUCAAAACUAUUUUUCCAUCCGAUUGUUGAACUAUUGGGGCGUUACAUCUUGUGAUAGAUCUUUCUUGUUUUACCGUUUAAUCUAGGUGACUUCACAAGAUCUUUCUUGUUUUAUCGUUUAAUCUAGGUGACUUUUCUCGCAUGACGUAUAUGAGGUCAAUUCUCUGUAAUGUUCACAAUGUUGUAUAAUCUUAAUGUAAUAAUCGGUCUAAGAAAAAUCAGUUAAACGUAAUCAAUGACGUCGAGAAAUGUCGAACUAAGUAUUCUCGUGUUUUUCUAGUCAUAAGAUCAAACAAAAGAUCCCUUAUUUAAGUUGGAUGUGCAUGUAUCUAAUCCCUAUCAACUUACGGUGAGGAUAAUGAGAGAAUAGUUUGAGGGUGAUAAUGAGAGCCUGGUGUCACGGACAAAAUGUUUUUCGCUGACUUCUCUUUGACAGUGGCCCAACUUCGCUAGUGGAGCGGGUCGUUAAAGAGACCCGAACCCAACCCGCUGUGGGAAGACGAAGGGUUUUGUAACUCCCUCAUCAAUGAUGGAAACUCAAGAAUUAUGAAACUCCCAUGAGUUAUGGGGUGACUCUUGGGCUUAUGGCUCAUUAUGAGGGUGAGUUAAUGUGUCUCAUAAUGAGAGAGUUAAUGUAUGUCUAGGUUCAUUGUAUUUAGGAGCAUAUAAAUAGCGGGGUUUGGCUAAGGUCAAAACACACAAGAGAGUGUCGUAUGUGUGGGUUGUAAUCUCUUUUCUAAGUAGUGGAGUACUUAGUUUUUUUGAGUGAACCUCUGCCUCUCUCUCUUUGUCAUUCCUUUUGCAUACUUAGUCGUAGGGCGCGAAGGUCCAGGCUAGAAAUAGGGACGAAGGCUUGCCCAUCUUCGAGCAGGAAGGCGGGCGCCGCACGGGCUUUGCGAACAGAAACGCUAAGGCCGUGACACUGGGCUUGACAAAUGAAAAGUCCAAAGUUCUUGGCAUAGAAACAGGGAGUUACAAUGAGUUUUUAGCCUCUUAAAAUCAAAGUUCUAAUUUGAAACUUCAGCUAAUACUGGAAAAGAGUUCUAUCGUUUUAGUAAUAAAGAAGAAAAGUGCAUCUACCUUCUAAAAUUUUUUAGAUCCUGUGAGCAUUAAUAAAAGCAGAGAUGCUUGACGAAUGCCACUGCCAUUUUAUAACAUCAGAAAAGAAAGAUUCAAACAUUGAUUUGAAAUGUUUUGGUUAUAAAAAAAAAAAAGUGUGCUUUUCUGCAUAGGUUUCAUGACAUUUAGUUAAAGCUCGUAAUGCAUAGGAGUUUAUGGAAGCAUAGGUUAGGGCAAAAAAAGUUAUAGGUAUUAAAGAGAGGUAAAGUGAAGGAACUUACAUUCCUCUACAAACGCAAGAGUUAUCAAAAAUUAAAUUUUCAUAUUUAAUGAUAAAAAAUGUAACAACACAAAUGUUGGCUAUGUUAUCAGGUGCACAUGAAAAAGUCUUAUAUGUUAUAAAACCAUUAUAUAUGUAUUAUAAAAUAAAUAAUUUUCCAAUAAAUCUACAUAAAAUUAACAGGAUUUGAACAGAAUUCUUUUUCUUAAAGAAAAUCAAAACCGAAAUUGAAAUGAAGACCGUGCACAAUUAAAUUAAAUUCAAAAUUUCAUUAAUUUAUUCAUCAUUGCAAUUAUUGGCCAAUUUAUAAGAGAAAAGAAUAAGUAAAUCCAAUUAAGUAUACUGCAUAAAUAAUGAUUAAACUUAAUCAGUAUGUUUUCUUAUCCUACUACUACUUCUUUACAGUGAAAUAUUUAAAACCACCACUAUUUAGAGUAAUUUGUUAGUAUUAGUUGAAAUAUGUGAUAUAUGUGAUAAAGGAUUUGAAUAUCCUUUUAUUCAGAAACAUAUAUAGAUGACGUGGCGUGAAAAUAACAGAAAAUAAAAAAAAAAUAAAAAAGCUUCAUUAGAGUAAUAACUACAUAGACUUUCUAGGUUGACUUGUUGACCUGGUACAAGUCAACCUAAUAUCCACGUACACAAUUGUCCCAUAAAAAAUAAAAUGUUUUUUCCUACCUCCUAAGCCUAACGUUAGGACUUUCCUAGCUAUCAACAAUGUUUUAGACCUAUUCUCCCAUUUUAAUGAAAAAGACCAAAAAAAAAAAAAACUUACAAAUGGUGAAAAAAAAAAGAUUGAGAAAAAGAAAAAUACAUGGUAGAAAUGAAAAGAAAACGAUAAUUUAAUAAUAUCUUUUAAAAUAAUGCGGUAUAAAAAAUGGAAAUAAUUCCAAAGUUCAAUGUAGUAAAGUAUAAUUAAGUUAUCUUUUUGAUAUAACUAAUACAUGUUGCACUCUUUGACUUGAAUAAUAGAUAAGAUUUCAUAAAAAAAAAAAUUUCAUAAAAUUGACUUGGAAAGUAAUUAUUUGGUAAAAUUUUAUGGAAAGUGAGAAAAAGUCAAUUAUAGAGAGAGAGAGAAUUAAAACAUUAAUAAGAUUUUGUAGUAUACUGAGGGUGGUUGGACAGAAGAAUUCAAGUUUAUUCUGAUACAAUUAAUUUAAAUUUGUUUAAGAUGUUGAUUUGUUGAUAAGGCGAAUAAUUCCACAUAGGGACACCAACGAUUUCAAUUGAAUAGUUGAAUAGAAAUUUAAUUUAUAAAUAAAGUAAUAAUUAUAAUAAAAACUAUCACAGUAUAUAUAAAAAAUUUUAAAAGUAGUAAGUAAGAAAAGGCUUUUUUAAGGCCUUCUUGCAUAAAAAGUUUACUAAUUUUACAUUUUCGCAAAAAUAAACUCUUUUUUUUUUUAUUUUAGUGGAUUUAAACUGAAUUAUUAAAAAAUAACCAAAAAACUCUUGGGCAACCGUCUCGAACUCUUAUUUUACCUCUCGAACUCUCAUUUUACCUCGUCGGUCUUCACACAAACUCCUCCAUCGCAUUCACACCAUCGGGCUCCUCAAGAGCGAGAGAAAGGGGAGACACUUGACCCGCGCGUCGUGGUCGACUUUUGGAGUUUUGCCAGAGAUGAAGACGAAGAUGGCUAGAAAGAAGGGCAGCGAUUGCUAGUCGAGAAUACUUUUGAAACAUAUAGUUUUGCCGAAGAUGAAGAUGAAGGUGGCCAGAAAGAAGGGCGUCUAUCGCUAGUCGAGAAUAUUUUCAAAACAUGUUCGCUAGUGUGGCCAACGACGCUGAGUGGCGGCGAUGGUGAGAGAAAAACAUCUAGAAGACGAUCCGAUAUUGCACUACUUUUAAAAAAAAUUACAUUACUUAGAACACGUCUUACACUAAUUUAUUCAACGUAUCAAAUAAUAUAACUUUUGGUUAAAUAACACAACAUAUAUUCAAACUGUCUAUUUAUUUUUAAAUUAGUGCAACAUUAUUUUAUCCGUCAAAUUUUUUUAUCUUUCAACCAUUGCUUUUUUUUUUUUUUUGAGAAAAAGAUAGCACACUAUCUAUUUCAUUCAUUGAAAGUAUGAACUAGGCUAUAUUAGUGAGACAACCUGGACCUUGAGGGAGCGAAAAAAAUAAAAUAAAAUAAAAAUAAAAAGAAAUCAAGAGGUCAGUAUUUGGUUUGUAGGAAAAAAAUUUUCCUACAAAUUGUGGAAAAAAAUUUUACGCGGUUUAGUGUUUGGUUUGUAGGAAAAGAAAAAUAGUUUUCCAUGACAGUUGUUUGGUUGAAAGGAAAAAAAAAGUAGAUAAAAAACUAUUUAAUAUAUUUUUUAUUAUAUAUAUUAUUAUAUAUAUUUUCUCUAAUUAUAUAUAUUAUAUAUUAUUAAUUAUUAAUUUAUAUAAUACUAUUAAUAAUACANNNNNNNNNNNNNNNUUAGUUUUUCAUCUAGGUUACCGAUUUUUGUGUGUUCAUAGUGAACCCACUAUGAACAUUUUCAUAAGAUCGGGAUGAGAGAGAGAUAUAUAUAUAUAUAUAUUAAAAUAAUAAAUUUAUAUAAUAACACAUUAUAAUAUAUAUAAUAAAUAUUUAUGUAUUAUUAAAUAAAAUAUCAUAAUUUAUAUAUGAUAAAAUAUAAUAUAAGGUAUUAAUUACAUAUUAUAUUAUAUAAAAUCUAAAAAAAAUAUUUAUAUUUAAUAUUAUGAUUAUAUACAUAUAUAUAUUAUUUAUAUUAUAUAUAUGUUAUUCUUUUAUAUAUAUAUUAUUAAAAAAUAAAUAUUAACAAAAAAUAAAUAUUUAUAUAUUAUUAAAUAAAAUAUUAUAAUACUAAUAGCCUUUGGAUCAAACACUAUUCUACAUACCACCACCUACCACCACCUACCACCAUCAUCUCAACCUCACAUCUCUCCAUCCAAGGGCUAAAAACACACAAGUAUCACUUGGGUGAUACUUUUACAAGUAUUCUAGCUCUACUCUAUAUAUAUAUAUAUAUAAAAGAGUGGGAGAGUCCCCGUGGACUCUCUCUCACGCGGUCCACGAGGCAUCCUUGCCUCGUGGACCGCGCAUGCUCAAAUGCCCUGAGCCGCGAUUUUAGAGCUCGUAGUUUUCGUUUUCCGCCGAUUGGGAGCGGAAAACGAAAAUACACUUUUUUCUGAGAAUAUGUAAAAAGGGUUUUCCAAAUUUUUUUUUUUUACAGCUAACCAAACAUCAGAAAAAGAGUUUUCAGCGGAAAAAAAAUUUUCGGAGCACUUUUACGGGAAACCAAACACCGCCUUAGCUGGAAUAACGUAAUCCUACUGCGACUGUAGCUGAAAAAGCUUGUGUACAACUAACAUGGAAUUAUGCUAAAUAUUUCUAAAAAUCGUAUCAUUUCUUGCCUUUCAAAUGGACCAUCAGUAUUCUACUAAUUCAGAUAAACAUAAAAAAUAUUCAGAGCCUCUACUGGCUUAAGCUAAACUUGAGUAAUAUAAUUAUCUCACAUAAUAUCAGAGAUGCAGAGGCCUUGAGUUCGAGUCAUAUCAUACUCCUAGCAUUAUUCUCGACCAACGAUCGUCGCCCUCUUUCUCCGCCACCUCUGUCUCCGGCGACGCUCCGAGAAGCUCCAACAUCGUUUCUACCGCGACAACCUCGCCGGAGAAAGGCAAGAACGGCCACGGCGACGAGCUAGUCACGUCAUUCCCUCGAUCGUGAAAAUUAGUUAUUAUUCAAAGAGAAAAUUAGUUAAUGUUUUUAUUUUAGAAUGCUCUACUCUAAAUGGCGCGUACAGAGUCUCCGUACAUUUUUUUAAAAAAAUUUUACAUAAUUGACUAUUACAUUUCCCAGUGUUUCUCCAGGGGAGUUUCUGCUAACAUCAAACGCGGAAUCCCAUUUUCUUGUAGAUUCUUAUUCAUAACAUCUUCUUCUUUAAAUCCAUUUUUUAUAUUCUUCCUAUAUAUAUAUAUAUAUAUAUAUAUAUAUAUAUAUAUAUAUAUAUAUAGAAACCUUUUGGUAUGAGGAGAUUAAGAAAAAAAAGAAAAGAAAGAGAAAGGUGUUCUUCUUUAUGGGACACCUUUUGCUGUGCUAGGAUUCAAAGUAAAGAUGUUGAGGAGGCUCCAUCUGCUGCUGCUCUUCGCCAGCGUAACUGCUUCCGGUGAAACUGAUCCUGGAGAUGGUAAUUUUUCUUCAUACUUGCAUCUCUUUUAGAAGUGAAUCAGUUCAACAUUGUGUGGAUAUAUGGUGGUUGCGAUGGCGCAUAUCACGUGUUCGAUGAAUUGUCUGAGUUGUAGUUUUGUGGUAAUUAUUAUUUGUAUCUUUGAUUUGAGUAGUUUGGUAGAAUAUCUAAGGUGGUUUUUUGGCAUUUGAACUCGUAAAUGAUUUGCAGGAUUAAAACUUUGUUUGGUGCUUCAUCUAGAUGGAAUUGAGUUGAUUCUGUAUGCAAGGAAUUUACGUGAAUUGUAUUUUGAAGGUGAAUGUUGGAUAUAAAAUAUUAGAAGUACAGUUCUCUGGCAGCAUAAGCUUUUAGAGAAAAAUGAUUGUUUCAUAUACUUUAGCAUGAUUUCAAAGCAUGAGUUUUGGGCUGUCAAAAAGUCUCGAGCCCAGAUGUGAAGGAGAGUUUUGAAUAUUAAAAUCUAGAAAUGCUAUUAUGCUUUUGAAGAAUUAUGAUUGUUUCAUAUAAUUUAGCGAAAUUAAUUCUCUUGUUUUGAAUGUUAGAUGAUUGGCUUGAGUUUCUUGGUUUGAAUUUAGUCAUAUAACCCAUGUGGGAGCUAGAAAGGGUGCUUUUGGGUACAGAAAUAUUUUUACGUUCAAAAAACUCAAUUAUUGCAAAUCUGACCCCAAAUCAUCCAUUUGUAGAAGUUAAGGUUAAUGAUCAAUUGAUAAAUGCAUGCAGUUUCUGCUCUCAAAUCCUUGAUGACCAAAUGGAAAAACUCACCGCCAAGUUGGGACGAGUCGAAAGAUCCUUGCGGCGCACUGUGGGAUGGGGUCUCCUGCAACAAUUCUAGAGUGACCGAAUUGUGAGUUUCAGGUCCCUCUGGCUUUGUUACAUGUCUAAAAUGACCUACUAUUUCCUAGACCCUUAAUUUUGAUGUUUGUAGGAGACUAUUUAACAUGGGACUUGAAGGUACGUUGAGUGAGGACAUUGGGAAGCUUGACCAGCUGCAGAUCCUGUAAGUUUUUCAAAUUUAAAGUUGUGUUGAAAUUGGUAUAUCAUUAUCUUGGUUUAUAAAAGAAAAGUGUUAUAUUUCCAAAUUCCGAGUCAAGUGUUUGCUACUUAACAUAAUCACGACUAAAAUUCGAUAAUCAACAAUAGUAAAGAUAGCUGUAAAUUUUCCGUCAUCCGUUGCAUUUUAUAUGAACAUCACUAUAAAAUUCCACACUUUUCCAGUCCUGAUGCUUGUUGACAAUGUAUGUAAAUUAGAAUAUUAACUGUCUUGAUAAAUCCAAUAGUGUCAUGUAAUCCGUAUUGAGUUGUUUCAGGAAUUUUGUUUACUAAAUUAAGGAAAAAAGAAUCAGGAUUGUGAUAAUUUAACUGCAGGGACUUGUCCUACAACCGAAAACUAGGAGGUCAGCUCACAUCAGCCAUUGGGAACUUGCCAAAACUUAAAACCUUGUAAGUCUGGCAGUUUGCUUCUUUUCUGUGAUUACGAUCCAUCCAUUUUACAGUAAUAUGUUUACUCAUUUAACUAACUACUCUACCUCUACUUUGGUGAAGGAACUUGAUUAGUUGCAGUUUCGUCGGUAUCAUUCCAGAUGAACUAGGCAAUCUAGGGCAACUGACCUCCUUGUAAGGGGAUUUUGCUUUUUCUUUUUCUUCAGACCUUUAUGCUUUCAAUGAUUUUAAGUCGCUAAUUAAAAAUCAAGGUGUAUUCUAUAAUUUAGGUCUCUCAACUCAAACCAGUUCACAGGCAGAAUACCUGUUUCCUUGGGUAAACUUUCCAACCUCGAUUGGCUGGACCUUGCAGAUAAUCAGCUGAACGGAUCCCUCCCAACCUCAAUGAAUGGGGCUCCAGGGUUGGACCAACUAUUCAAAGCAGGACACUUGUUAGUCUCUCUUUUCUUUUUAGCAUGACGGAUUACGUUAAUCACCUUGAAAACUAUGAUUAAUUUCAUGUGUGUGCUGCAGCCAUUUUAAUAAGAACAAUUUAUCAGGCCCCAUCCCAGAAAGUCUCUUCAACGCCAAUAUGACAUUACGGCAUGUGUAAGUUAAGAGCUAUUUGGCGACUAUUGUAUGCUGUUACAUCUGUUGUUAUUGUGCCUAAUUAUCCCCAAAAAACAGGCUUCUCGAUAGAAACCAGUUAAUUGGGGAAAUUCCAGAGUCAGUUGGACUUGUGCUCACACUUGAGAUCCUGUAAGUGUAAAAAGAAUACGCAUUUGGCCUCAUUCUCAAGAAAACAUCUCGAACUUUCCUUACAAUGAAAAGGACGAAUUCAUAAUUUGUGAUUGAUAGAUGUGCUUUCUCAUGACAGUCGUCUGAAUAACAAUAAGCUGAACGGCACCGUUCCUUCUAGUAUUAGUAAUCUUGCAAAUCUCCACGUUCUGUAAGUAAUUACAUCAACCAAUUUGGACCCAACUCUUAGCGAUAACCUUUAUCUGUAUUUCAUUCAUUUAGCUGAGUCAAUACAUAUGUCAGAAAUUUAGGAAACAACAAUCUUACGGGACAAAUGCCCAAUUUAACUGCGACAAGGGAGCUAAAAUAUGUGUAAGGACCCUGAACUUUAAAUACCUGUAUUCAUGCCUCUGCCUUCUUGAUCAGAUUGCAAAUGGAGUUGCAUCAUAUUAUUUGCAGGGAUUUGAGCAACAAUUCAUUUCUUCCUUCUGAAGCUCCAAGUUGGUUUUCAUAUUUGAAAAACAUAACUACUCUGUAAGUUUGUCCUGGGCAUUGAUUGAAUUGUGAAAUAGAUCUUUUGCUCAUAAUAAGCUUAAGAUAAUUUCUUCACCUCUGACGUCCAGUAUAAUAGAGUCUGGUGGACUUCAUGGGCCAAUGCCGCAAGAACUGUUCAGCGUUUCUCAACUGGAGAAAGUGUAAGAAUAUGUAAAAUGAAAAAAAUAAACUGAGAGAGAGAGAGAGAGAGAGAGAGAGAGAGAGAGAGAGAGAGAGAGAGAGAAGAGCCGGUGGAGAGAAAAUUUAACUGCUUUUUCAUUGUUUCUUACUCAUGGCAGAACGUUGGACAACAAUGAAUUCAAUGGUUCCCUCGAUAUGGGCAAUGACAUCAGCAAGCGAUUACAGAUUGUGAGCUUCAGAAACAAUGCGCUUAACUCAGUCAUGCUAUCUACAAACUAUAACAACACUUUAAUGUGAGAGGAUCUUAUAGUGUGUCAUUUCAGUUCAUUUACUAGUGAAACACAAUUCUCCCGUUUAUUCUCAACUAUUCAAUGCUCCUCUCUUGGUGAUUGAUGGCAGACUUUCAGGAAAUCCUGUAUGCAGCAAAUCUGACCUUGAGGAUACAACUUACUGUAAAACUCAGCAAGAAACAUCGGUACCUAGUUCACCUAAUAAUAAAAGUUGUUCCCACCCAUAUGAGGGUGCUAUGAUUUUCAGAGCUCCUUCCUUUGGUAUUGUCACCAAUAGCUCAAUCCAGUUAUUAGAGAAAAAUUUGUCAGCAAAACUGGAAUGUGCUCCGAAUGGCUUCACUCUCGAAAAUUGCUUCUUCAACAAUGAUGGUUACUUAGAGGUGAAGCUGAUAAUCUGCCCAUCUGAUGGAAAGUACUUCAACCGGAGUGAGAUAUUGGAUUGCUUUAAAAUUUUGAGCAGCCAAGAUUUUGUGCCACCCGAUAUAUUUGGACCGUACUAUUUCACUGCAAGUAUAUAUUUAUUUGAGGAAGAAGGUCUGCAAAAUAAAAACUCCUUAUUUUACAUGAUAUUUAUUAAAGGCUGCAUCGUUUUCUUCGCACUUGUGGUUCUUGUUCUCUUUAUAGUACUUUUCGUCUGUUGGCGACAACAAAAGAGACGUGAUCAACAAGACGUUUCCCAGAGCAAUCCUUUUGGUAAUCUAUUCGUGAAACAUACCAUGCCCACUUUUACUUUGUAGAUACGACAAUAUUGAUCAUAAAGGAUGGCAACAACAAUUAUAGACAAGUCCACUUCCAAUUUCACCAUGCCAUCCACUCACGUAGCUAUUAUUUCUUGAAAGAAAAAUCAUAUUACUAUCACUUACUUGUGUGAGGAACCUAUUGAUGACUAUUUAUGCCCAUUUUCAGCAUCAUGGGCAUCUACCGGCGAAGACAAUGUCAGUGCACCAACACUUAGAGCACCAAAAUGCUUCACAUAUGAUGAAUUGAAGGAGUGCACUAAUGGUUUCCGAGGUACCAAUGAAAUUGGUGUGGGUGGAUAUGGAAAGGUAGGAAAAUCAAGUGAUUUUUAUCUCAUGCAGGUGUCUAUUAGAGAAUCUUCUCCUAGAUUAGCAUUCUUGUUGUGGUCUACCUCUCCCUUCUAGGUCUACAAAGGAAGGCUUCUAAAUGGGCAGAUCGUUGCGAUUAAGAGACGUAAACAAGGCUCAGAGCAAGGCAGACCUGAAUUCAAGAACGAACUUGAGCUGCUUUCUCAGGUUCAUCACAAGAAUCUGGUCGGAUUAGUCGGGUUUUGCUGCGAGAAAGGGGAACAGAUGAUUGUCUAUGAAUUUAUGUGCAAUGGAACCAUAGAAGAGAGCUUGUCAGGUAUGUUCUUCUUCAACGUUGCGUAGUAGGUCUCUCUUUGCAUAUCUAUAGCUAUGGACAUCUUUACAUUGCUGCACCUAUAAUCUAAAUUUUGUGCCCCUUAACAUAUAUAUAUAUAUAUACACACACACAGACACACACACACACACAUUAUGCUAUUAGUAGCACAGCAGUUCUUGUGCUCCUAAGUUUCUAACUAUUCAUCAAUUUUGAUCGAUGGUUAGGGUGAGAGAGAGAAAAGAAAUUGGAGAGAAAUUAGGUUUCUUAAUUUCUCCUCUUUGAAUAUCUCCCCAAUUUCUCUUCUCUCUCUUUCACUCUAAUUACCCAUCAAAAUUAAUAAAUGGUUAGAAACUUAGGAGCACAAGAGCUGCUAUGCUCUUAAUAGCACAGUAGCCCUAUUAUAUAUAUAUAUAUAUAUAUAUAUAUAUAUAUAUAGACAAAAGUGUGCCUUUUAGUGGGUGUUUGGAUUGAUGAAAUUGAGAUUCAGCUGUAGAUCGAGUUUAUUAAGAGUAAAAAUAUUAAUCUUGUCAUCCAUGAUGAAGAAACCAAGAAGCAGUAAGUAGCCACAAACUUAAAUUCUCGAAAACAAAUUUUCUGCGAAAUAUUCUAAAGUUAUCUUUCGUGGAAAGACUCAAAAUUUAGCUUGUGAUUAAACGGAGAAUCUUUAUGACAUUAUGCUAGUUUGACGGUAAGGCCGAUAUUUUUACUUUCACCAAACUUAAUGUUCAAUUGAACCGAACUACAAUUACGACCAUCCAAAGGGCCCCUUAGUAAAACUUUCUAGGUAAAAGCCCUUUAUAUAUAUAGGUACUCUUCCGAUGUUGCAAAUUGUAAUCGCAGGAAAGCGUGACCAACAAUUGGACUGGAACAGGAGACUUAUCAUAGCUUUGGAUUCAGCUACAGGAUUAGCUUAUCUUCAUCGCCAUGCCAGUCCUGCAAUCAUUCACGGAGAUGUCAAGUCUUCUAAUAUCCUUUUGGAUGAAAAUUUAAGUGCAAAGGUCGCAGAUUUUGGUAUAUCAAAAUCAGUUCCAAACAGCGUGACAAAUUAUUUCACUUAUAUUGAUAAGGGAACACCUGUGAGUUUCUAGUUCCUUAGUUGCUGUCUUCUUAUGCUGCCUGCUUCUUUUAUCAUGCAUUUCUGGGUUCUUUAUUUCUGUAUAGUUAGUUUGAUGAGAAUCUUCGUAUAUACAUCAAAUAUUGAAUCAGGAAAUAAUAUUAAAUCUUAAAAUAUUUUAACUUGAGGAUUGUAUUAUUCGUUCCUUGCAGGGAUAUCUGGCCCCUGAGGCCAUGCAACAGCAAAUAACGAUGAAGAGCGAUGUUUAUAGUUUUGGUGUGGUAAUGCUGGAGCUAAUAACUGCAAAACCGGCGAUAUGUAACUAUGGGUAUCUUGUUGAGAGAGUGAAGAACACAUUGGAUAAACAAGUCACAGAAUACUGUGGUCUGAAGGACCUCCUCGACCCUGUUCUCUUGGAAACCGAAAAUCUCAUCGGAUUCGAGAGGUUCUUAGAUUUGGCACUGCAAUGCACUGAGAUUUCACCUGACAAUCGUCCAACAAUGAGUGAUGUUGCAAAGGAGAUUGAGACUAUACUGAAGAGUAAUGGAAUGAUGGAGAUAGCCUCAACUUCAGAAUCCUCAGCUGCUGCAGGUUUAGGCAGUCCGAGGGCUUGCAAUCCUUCUGAUGAUUUGUAUUCUUCUUCUGGAAGCUAUGCGAGCAGCAGCAGAGCUUUCGAAUGCAGCAGUGAAUUUGCCUCUCGAAGCAGCUCUAGGCUGAUCAACAAUGGAUCUUUAUUUAAAUUUGCUGGUUUUACGAUGUAAUGGAGAGCAUCUAAGUUGCAAUGUUUCAUCUGAGUCGACCUUCAACAAAGAAUGUAGAUGUCUCUCUUUCCUGCAUCUCUCUUUGAUGCACCACUUUGUAAAAUAGGUUACUUAACAAGGUUUGGUGUGUAUAAAGUAGUUAAAUAUUUUUUGAUGUUUGUACAGUUUGCUAAAACACUUGUCUUGAAUGCAGUAAUCUUUCUUUGUGUUUAUAAUCAAUUUGAUGGUGAACCAUUAUAUAUAUAUAUAUAUAUAUAUAUAGAGUGAGGUUACUACGCUAUCGGAAGCACGAAGCCUUCCGUGCUUCCAGCUCGCUUUCGAUGUUGCGACUUUCGAAUCGUCGAUCGGCUCCGUUAAAUUUGAUCUAGAGUAUUUGAGGUACCUGGAAAAUAAAUUUUAUGAUUUUACGAUAUCAUUUGCCUAGUGAACGAAGGGGCUCAAAAUCAACGGCUAAAAAUAAAAAUCUUAUAAAAUAUAAUAAUAUGACAUUAAAAUUUUAAAUCAAAGAUAUUGAUCUUGUUUUAUAUAGUAUAAAGAAUUUUCUAAUCAAGAAUUUCCGUUUCGGAAUACUUCUACACCGUUAAACUUGCAAACGGCUCACUACGGCCAUUGAAAUUUGUUGAUUUUGAGCCAUUCGAUCAUCACUAGGCAAAUGAUAUCGAAAAAUAAUAAAUAUUUAUUUUCUAGGUGCUCCAUUAUACUCUAGAUCAAGUUUAACAGAGCCGGAUCGACGAUUCGAAAGUCGGCACACAUCGAACAACGAGCUGGAAGCACGAAAGGCUCCGUGCUUCCGAUAGCAUAGUAGCUCACUCUAUAUAUAUAUCUAUACUAUAUAUAUAUAUAUAAUAUAAUAUAUAUAUAUAUAUAAUAUAUAUAUAUAUUAUAAAGAGUCCGGCUACUAUACUAUGCCGCCGUAGCAUGGAGGGCCCUACCCGUGCUCUUUGCGAUGAUGCCGCGCUUCCAAAUCAACGAUCGGCCUCCGUUAGACUUGAUCUACACUAUUGAAAGUAUUUGGAAACCUAAAUUUCAGAUUUUUCAACAUCAUUUGAUUGUGAUCAAAAGAUCUCAAAAUUGACAAUUUUAAAGCCGAUGGGUGUGUUUGAGAGUUUAACGGUGUAAACAAUCCAAAUUCGAUGAAAAUUUUAUAGAAAUUCUUUUCACUAUUUAGAGUAAGAUCAGUAUAAUCUAAUCUUGAAUUUAAAUCUUUUAUCAUCAUUUUUUAUGAGUAUUUAUUUCAGCCGUUCAAUUUUAGACUACUUGUUUUGAUAGGUAAAUGUAUCGAAAAAAUUAUGAAUUUGUUUCUAAAUACUUUAAUAGUGUAGAUCAAGUUUAACGGAGCCAAUCGUCGAUUUGGAAGCCGCAUCAUCGAAAACACUUUGGUAGCAUCGGAGCCCUCCGUGCUCCGAUAGUAAUAUGUAGUCCUAGCUUUCUAUAUAUAUAUAUAUAUAUAUAUAUAUAUAUAUAUAUACUUGACCUUCUAUGUUUUUAAAAGCACCAAGUUAUUGGUGUUGGUAGGUUUUCGGACUUUGGAUGAAGAUUUGUAGGAUUAAGAUGAUAGUAGUGUCAUAGGAUUGAACGAGUGAUUUGUGGAAUAGCAUAAUCUAAGGGAUGGAAUUGGUCAAAAUGAUAGAUCUAAUGGUGGAAAACUUUUUUUUUUUUUCCGUAAAACAGUUUUCCAUUCUUUUCCAAAGAAUCAAACACCCUCUAUAGUAAGAAUAAAAAAUUGUAAUGUUUUCUUNGGAAGCGAGCUAUCUGCUUCAUUUAUUAAGAGAAAUGAACUAGGCUUACAGGAUGGGAUGCAGCUAAGGUUUCCGAGGAAAAAGACAAGAAGGCAGAAAGAUAGAAGAAGAAAGAAAGAAAGAAAAAAAAUCGAAUGCAGAGGUGAGGAAAAAGCGGUGAAAAGAUCCACACUCAGCAAAAAUUAGUCCAAUUGGUUAGGAGAACUUUGAUACUGUCAAGUGAGCGCAGAGGAUCAGGGGGAAUUGCUUGAAAGAUAGCCUUGUUUCGCUCACUCCAGACUACCCAUCAGGUUGCUGUCAGUAUGGAUAAUCUCUUCCGUCUUGACAUACCGUUUUCUUGAUUGAAAAUCCUAUCCCAUAGAUCUCGAGCCUCAUUCUGGGGUUCGGCUAGCAACUCCGGGCCUUCGACGUUGAAGAGUAGAUAUUUGGCAUACACGCAGGUACGAAAAAGGUGAUCACAUGUUUCCGGAGCGUUAGCGCAAAGGACACAGACGUUCUCCCCAGGCCGUCUCUGGAUGCAUAAUCUAUCGGCGGUAAGGAGUCUAUUACGUAACAGUAACCAAAUGAAAAUCUUUUCAUUUGCAUGGUACUUUAAAAGCACCAUAGCAAAACACUCUCUCUUUUUCUCUCUGUAUAAAAGAGUUAUGAUACUUUCAGAAGUAUAAGAGGAUUGAUAUUUUCAACUUUUUGACCUUUGGAUCAAUCCUUUUAACUAUUUUUAACCUUUAGAUUAAUAUUAUUAUCCUAGGAGACCGCUAUCAUUACAACCUUACAAUCCUUGAUCCAAGAACUACUAUGUUAUCAAUAACAUCAAGCGCUUGAUAAUAUAUAUAUAGUAUGUCUUUUGUGCUAUCAAAAGCACUAAGGUUUUUGUGUUUUUAAAUUAUUAUUGACAAUGGGACAUCUGAUUCGACGACCGACUAGAUUAGAUAUUAUUUACAAUAUACAAAAUAAAAAACAAAAAAAACCUAUAUUUAAUAUAAUAAUUAAAUGAAUAUCCUAGGUUGACUUGUGGACAGGACAAUGUUGACUUAAGGCAACCUCAUAUUCAUCACACCCAAUUGUCCCAUAAAAUAUUUGUAAUAAAAUGUUUUUUCCUACCCCCUAAGGAGAUAUUAAUGUCUUUAUGAGGACUUCAGUGUCAACAAUGUCUGGGACUCUCUCUUUCCCCAAAGUAAAAUAAUAACAACAAUAAAUACUUAUAAAUGGUGAAAAAAAAUGAUUGAAAAUAAUUUGAAGCAGAAGCAUCCAAUGGAUUUAUUUUCUUUGCCAAAAUGCACUUAUUUUAUUGUCUUCUUCAACUCCAAUCAAUUUUUUUUUUUAUCAGAACUGUAAGUUUUUGCCUAAACCAAUAAAUUUGUUUACACUAAAGAUUGGAGAGAAAAUAAUUGUUUAGUAGAUUUUUUUUAAAAAAAAAAACAAUAUGGUGCAUCAAAUGAAAAGAAAAUGUCAGCUCACUGGUGUUUUUUAAAAUUAAAAAAAAAGUACAAUAUAACAAAUACAACUAAUUUUACAGCAUGGUAUAGUAAAGUAAAAUUAAGUGGAACUUUAAGUACAAACUAAUAAAUGUUGCAUUCUUUGAUGUGUAUAGUCAAUAAGAUUCCAACAAAAUAAUAUUUUUUUUUUUUCAUGGUGUUAGAUUGAUAGGGGAAGAUAUUAUGGAAAAAUUGUGAGGAAUGGAAAACAAAGUCAAUUUUGGCAUGCACUUUCAAGUUAAAGAGAAAACUAAGACAAGAGUGAGAUAUAUUGCAUUAUUUUGAGGGUGAUUGGAACAGAAGUAUCCAGGUUACUCUAAUUUAAUUAAUUUUUAUUUGUUUAAGAUGUUGAUUUGUUGAAUAAUUGAUGGAUAAUAAGGGGGAUAAUUCAAUUUAUUCCACUUUUUAUCCUGCCAAAAACACACAAAGAAAAAGAAGAAAAAAACAGUACAGCAUAAGUUAAAUUAUGCUGAGUCUACUUGCAUAUACUUAUGCUUAAUUACAUAUAAAUACAAAUAUAACAAUAUUUACAAACAUACUGACUUGGAGGAUUUCAAUUGAAUGGUUGUUAUAUAAUUUGCUUAAAAAAUAUACUGAUAAAUGAAAUAAUAAUUAUAAUAAAUAAAAGACUAUGGCAAAAGUAUAAAUAAAAAAAAAAUUAUAAACUUAGUAAUUAGGAAAAAGCAUUUUUCAAUAGUGCAAUAAAUUAUGAACAUUGACGCAUGCCACAAAGUCGCGCAAAAAAGUCGCACACUUCGCUUUACGGUAGGACCAUUGGUAAACGUCACUGACCGUACCUAACACAAAUGACAAAAUAUUUGAUAAUUAAUAUCUGAGAUUUCAAAUUCGAAAUAUAAUUGUCAUGCUCUACUUUGAAUUUUUUUUCCUUCUGAUUAAUAUCUUUCCUGUUUGGUAACUAAGAAAAAAUUCAAACUCGAGACCUCCGGCGAUAAUAUUAUAUUAAAUAAUAUAAAAUAAUUAUUAUUUUUUAAAAACUUAAAUUACCAAAAAAAGAAAAAACAAAGCAUUCACAAUUUACUCUCAACAUAACUUUUGAUUAUUUUAAUUUAAAUUAUUAUUUCUAAAUUUUAAAUUAUUGGUCGGUUGAACUCCCGUUUAACUAACGUUGGUGGAGAGGAAAGUUCCAAGAAGACGCAACACGCAUUUCUUGUAUAGCCCCUUUCAAACCUUCAGAAUAAGGAGACACCAAAAAAAAAAAAAAGUGUUCUUCUUUGUAGGAGAUUUUGUCCUUUUUUUUUAUGCUUGGAUUCAAACCAAAGAUGUAGAAAUUCAGCAAAAAUGGUGAUGCCGAGGAUUCUGCUGCUGCUGCUGCUGCUGCUGCUCCUCUUCGGCGCAACUGUUUCCGGCGAAACUUACCCUGCAGAUGGUAAUUAUCUUUAUACUUGUAUCCCUACAUGGUUUAUGGUGGUUGGGAUCGCGCAUAUCACGUGUUCGAUGAAUUGCCUCUGUGGGAGUUUGUUCAUUUUUAUUGUAGUUUUAUGGUUGAUUGUUGGUAUCUUUGAUGGAUUUAAGUGAAUUGGAUUUGGAGGUGAAUGAAUUCUUUUGUUUGGAAUGUUAUGUGAUUGGAUUGAGUUUAAUUUUUGGCUUUCUUGUUUCAACUUUAGUCACAUAACCCAUAUUGGAACUAGAAAGGGUGUUUUCGGGUAAAGAAAGAAAUGUUUUUCUACUUUCGAGCGCCCCCCGCCACGAGGCAAUAUAGGCAAGAUGCUAGUCUCUUUAAGCUAACAAUUCCUUCCUCAGCACCUGCAUGAAUUUGCAGCAUGCAAGAAUCGAAUGAGUGAUAUGCUCUUAUACCAUAUGUUGGAUCAUUGGCGCUAACAAUAAUUCUAAAAGCCUGAAUUGUUAGAAAGAGGACAAAUAAUUUACUUAAAGUGAACGGACAUACAAUGCCUAUGGAGCUUCUAUUGUGACUUGGCCAAACCUGGCCUCCCGUCACUUCCAAUGUAACUCGACCCAAUCUGACCUCCAUUACGAGGAUGGAUGUUGGCUUCUUUAAGCCACCAAAGUCGUCCGAUUGUAGAAGUUUAGGCUAUUGAUCAAUUCACAUAUACUUGCAGCUUCUACUCUCAAAUCCUUGAUGACGGAAUGGAAAAACUCGCCGCCGAAUUGGGGCAAGUCUGAGGAUCCUUGCGGCACACCGUGGGUUGGGGUCUUCUGCAUCAACUCUAGAGUGACCCAACUGUGAGUUUUCGGUACCUCUGGCUUUGUAACAUGUCUAAAAUGACCUACUAUAUCCCUGACCCGUACUUUCGAUGUUCGUAGGAGACUAUUUAACAUGGGACUUGAAGGUACAUUGAGCAACAAUAUUGGGAAGCUCGACCAGUUGCAGACCCUGUGAGUUUUUCUAAUUUAAGCUGUGUUGAAAUCAGUAUAUCAUUAUCUUGGUUUAGGGGAAAAAAAAAAAAAAAACUAAAGGUUUUAUAUUUCCAAAUUCCGAGUUAAAUGUCUGCUAUCUGCGACUUUAACAUUAUCAUGGCUAAAAUUCGAUAAACCAAGAAUUCCAUCAUCAUUCUUUGCAUUAUAUUUGAAUAUCAUCGUAAAAUUCCACACUUUUUCCAGUCCUGAUGCAUGUCAACAUUGUAUGCGAAUUUGUAAUAUUAACUAUUUUGAUAAAUCCAGUACGUCGUGCAAUCUGUAUUGAGAUUUUUCCAGAUUUUUGUUUACUAAAUUAAAGAAUGUGAUAAUUUAACUGCAGGGACUUGUCCUACAACCAAAAUCUAGGAGGUCUGCUCACACCAGCCAUCGGGAACGUGACGAAACUUAAUAUGCUGUAAUUCUGACAGUUUGCUUCUUUUCCGUGAUUACAAUCCACCUAUUUUGCAGUAAUAUUUUUACUCAGUUAAUCAACUACACCUGUUCUAUUAAGCAGGAGCUUGAUUAGCUGCAGUUUCAUCGGUACGAUUCCAGAUGAACUAGGCAAUCUAGGGCAACUCACCUCCUUGUAAGGGGAUUUCGCUGUUUCUUUUUCUUCAGUUCUUUAUUUUUUUUCAAUCAUUUAAGUUGCCAAUUGGUAAUCAAAGGGAUAUUCUAUAAUUUAGGUCUCUCAACUCGAACCAGUUCACAGGCAGGAUACCUGCUUCCCUGGGUAAACUUUCCAACCUCAAUUGGCUGGACCUUGCAGAUAAUCAGUUGAGUGGACCCCUCCCGACCUCGACGAACGGGGCUCCAGGCUUGGACCAACUCCUCAAAGCACAACACUUGUUAGUAUCUUUUCUUUUUAGUGUGAUGGUUUAUGUUGAUCACCUUGAAAACUAUGAUUAAUUGCAUGUGUGUGUUGUAGCCAUUUAAACAAGAACCAACUAUCAGGUUCCAUCCCAGAAAAUCUCUUCAACGCCAAUUUGACAGUACAGCACGUGUAAGUUAAGAGCUUUUUGGCGACUGUUAUAUGCUAUUAAAUCUGGUUUCAUUCUUCCUAAUUAUUAUCCCCGAAAAACAGGCUUCUUGACAGAAACCAGUUAACUGGGGGGAUUCCGGAGUCAGUUGGACUUGUGCGCACACUUGAGAUCCUGUAAGUGUAAUAACAAUAAGCCUUCUGCCUCAUCUUCCAGAAAUCAUUUCGAGCAUCCCUUAAAUUGAAAAGGAUGAAUUCGUAAUUUGUGAUUAACAGAUGUGCUCUUUCAUGGCAGUCGUCUGAAUAACAAUAAGCUGAACAGCACUGUUCCUUUGAGCAUUAGUUAUCUUGCAAAUCUGCACAUAUUGUAAGUAAUUACAUCAACCGUCUUGGACUCAGCUCUUAAUGAUAACCUUUCUCUAUAUUUCAUUAAUUUCACUGAGUCAAUAUAUAUGUCAGAAACUUAGGAAACAACGAUCUUAGCGGACAAAUGCCCAAUUUAACUGCGAUGAGGAAGCUCAAAUAUGUGUGAGGAUUCCAUAAACUUUCAGUACCUGCAUUCAUGCCUUGGCUUUCUCAAUCAGAUUGCAAAUGGUGUUGCAUCAUAUUAUUUGCAGGGAUUUGAGCAACAAUUCAUUUGAUCCUUCAGAAUCUCCGAGUUGGUUUUCGGAUUUGAAAAGCCUAACAACUCUGUAAGAUUGAAUUGUGAAAUGGAUCUUUUGCGAUUGUUUGUUCGUAAUAAGCUUAAGAUAAGAUUUUCUUCAUCUUUGACGUGCAGUAUAAUAGAGUCUGGCGGACUUCAUGGGCAAAUGCCGCAAGAACUGUUCGGCGUUUCUCAACUGGAGAAAGUGUAAGAAUAUGUUAAAUGACAAAAACACUAAAAAAGAGAGGUAGAAGAGGGGGUGGACUGGAGAGAAUUUAACUGCUUUUUCAUUGUUCUAACUCAUGACAGAGCAUUAGACAACAAUGAAUUCAAUGGCACCCUUGAUAUGGGUAACAACAUCAGCAGGCAAUUACAGAUUGUGAGCUUCAAAAACAAUGCGCUUAACUCGGUCAUGCUAUCUUCGAACUAUAACAAUACUUUAAUGUGAGAGGAUCUUAUAGUCUGUCGUUUCAGUUUAUUUUUACUGGUCAAACACAAAUCUCCUCUGUUUAUUCUCAACUAUAUGAUUUUCCUAUCUUGGUAACUGAUUGCAGACUUUCAGGAAAUCCCGUAUGCAGCAACCCUAAUCUUGAGAAUACACCUUUCUGCCAUACACGGCAAGAAACACUGGCGCCUAAUUCAUCUAAUAAUAUAAGUUGUUCCCACCCAUAUGAGGGUGCUAUGAUUUUCAGAGCUCCUUCCUUUGGUAUUAUCACCAAUAGCUCAAUCCAGUUAUUAGAGAAAAAUUUGUCAGCAAAACUGGAAUGUGCUCCGAAUGGCUUCACUCUCGAAAAUCCCUUCUUCAACAAUGAUGGUUACUUAGAGGUGAAGCUGAUCAUCUGCCCAUCUGAUGGACAGUACUUCAACCGGAGUGAGAUAUUGGAUUGCUUUGAUUUCAACAGCCAAGAUUAUGUGCCACCCAAUAUGUUUGGACCGUACUAUUUCUAUGCGAAUUCAUAUUCAUUCCAAACGAAAGGUCUGCGAAAUAGUGAUGGAGCUAUUUGGCAAUAUGUUUUAGUUUAUUUCAGUAAUCAUACAAUAUUGAUGGAGCUAUUUGGGUGACAGUUAUUAUCGGCUUGGUAACUGGAAUGAUAGUUGGCUUAUCGCUUCUGCUUGUUGGACUUCUGAUGGUUUUGGCCUAUGCUCUACGACAAAAGAGGCGCGCUCAAAGAGCCAUUUCUCAGACCAAUCCUUUUGGUAAUCUGUUUGCGAAACAUAUCAUGUCCACUUUUUCUUUCUAUAUAUGAUCAUGAAAGAUGGCAACAACAAUUGUAGAUAAGUCUACAUUCUCAUAUAUUACAAGAAAAAAUGAACCUAUAGAAUUGAAGAAUUACAAUGUUACCAUGCCACCCACUUAGCUAUCAUUUCUUGAAAGAUACAAUCAUAUUACUACUGCAUACUUGCAAAAGGAACCUAUUGAUGACUAUUUACCCCAAUUUUCAGCAUCAUGGUUAUCUAUUGGCGAAGAGAGUGUUGGUGCACCGACACUUAGAGCACCAAAAUGUUUCACAUAUGACGAAUUGAAGGAGUGCACUAAUGGUUUCCGAGGAACCAACGAAAUUGGUGUCGGGGGAUAUGGAAAGGUAGGAAAAUCAACUGAUUUUUAUCUCAUGCAGUGAUGGCUAAUAGAGAAUCCUCUCCCUUUUACUAGCAUUCUUGUUAUGGUUUACCUCUUCCUUUUAGGUCUACAAAGGGAUGCUCCCAGAUGGGCAGACUGUUGCAAUUAAGAGACGUAAACAAGGCUCACGGCAAGGUGGACCUGAAUUCAAGACUGAACUCGAGUUGCUCUCUCGGGUUCAUCACAAGAAUCUGGUCGAACUUGUUGGGUUUUGCUGCGAGAAAGGGGAACUGGUGCUUGUCUACGAAUUCAUGUGUAACGGAACAAUAGAAGAGAGCUUGUCUGGUAUGUUCUCCCUCAACCUUGCGUAGCUGGUCUAGCUUUGCAUCUCCAUAGCUAAGGAGAUAUUUACACUGCUAAUAUAUAAUCUAAAUUUCUUACCCCUUGAGAAACUAAAGUUUUAAAAUAUAUGACAUAUUAUAAUUACAAAAGUGUGCCUAUUAGCAAAAGUCCUUAGGUAAAAGCGCUUUAUAUAUAUAUAGGUAACUCUUCCGAUGUUUUCCAAAUUAUAAUCGCAGGAAAGCGUGACCUACAAUUGGACUGGAGCAGGAGACUUAUGAUAGCUCUGGAUUCAGCUACAGGAUUAGCUUAUCUUCAUGACCAUGCCAAUCCUCCAAUCAUUCACAGAGAUGUCAAGUCUUCUAAUGUCCUUUUGGAUGAAAAUUUAAUUGCCAAGGUCGCAGAUUUUGGUCUCUCGCAUUUAGUUCCAAACAGCGAGACGGACUAUUUCACUACUAAUAUUAAGGGAACAAUCGUGAGUUUCUAGUUCCUUGAAUUGUCGUCUUAUUUUGUUGCCUGCUUCUUUUAUCAUGCAUUACCAGAUCAUCAUUUUUAAUUUCUGUAUAGAUAGUUUCAUGAUAAUCUUCUCAAAUAUUGCAUCGGGAAAUAAAAUUAAAUCUUGGACUAUUUUAACUUGAAGAUUUUAUCUUCAAUUGUUCGAUCCUUGCAGGGAUAUCUGGCCCCUGAGGCCUAUAUGCUACAGCAAAUAACGAGAAAGAGCGAUGUUUAUAGUUUUGGUGUGGUAAUGCUAGAGCUGAUUACUGCAAAACCAGCGACACAUAACUACAAAAACAUUGUUGAUAUAGUGAAGAACGCAGUGGAUAGACAUGACACAGAAUACUGUGGUCUGAAGGACCUAAUCGACCCUGUUCUCUUGGAAACCGGAAAUCUCAUCGGCUUCAAAAGCUUCUUAGAUUUGGCAUUGCGAUGCAUCGAGGUUUCAGCUGACAAUCGUCCGACAAUGAGUGAUGUUGCGAAGGAGAUUGAGAUUAUACUGAAGAAUAACGGAAUGAAGAUGGCCUCAACUUCAGAAUCCUCAUCUGCCACAGAUUUGGGCAGUCGGAGGGCUCGCAAUCCUUAUGAUGAUUUGUAUUCUUCUUCUGGGAGCAAUGUAAGCAGGAGAGCUUUUGAAUACAGCAGUGAAUUUUCCUCUCGAAGCAGCUCGAGGCUGAGCAGCAAUGGAUCUUUCUUUAAAAUUACUGGUUUUACGAGGUAAUGCAGAGAAUCUAAGUUGCAAUCUUUAAGCAAAAUGUUGAGUUGAGUAAUUAUUUCCAAGUCAAACUUCGACUAAGAAUGUAGAUGCCUCUAUCCCCUGCAUCUCUUCUUGAAGCACUCAGGGACACUUGAAGGAACAAUAGGUUGGCACUACUUUGUAGAAAAGGUUACUUACAAGGUUUCAAUAGUAUAAACUAGUUAAAUUUUUGCGAAACCACUUACCACGAUAUGUAGCAAGUCUUAUUUGUUUUUAUAAUCAAUUCGAUGGUGGACCAUUAACACACAAGUCUAUUUCAAAAACAGCUCUGUUAAAUCAUUAGGACAAGAUUUAGUAAUCAUUUGUAUCAAAUGUGGGACUUGCCCUGUUAGCUGUAUGCAACAUUUUUGCCUUCUUGAUUUUGUGAUUCAUUCAUUGGAUCUGUUUGAGUAUACUAUACAGUUUAUUCUCUUCUUGAUUGUGUAGGUGUUGAACUUUUUCUUUUUUUCUUUUUUUCGUCCUCAAGACUUGUCUCAAGAUUAACUAUGUACAGUGAUGUCAGCAUGAUCUUACGUAAAAGGCCAAUACACACCAUAUUUAGGUAACACUACCUUAGUGAUGUAAACUUUGGUGUACGAAAAAUGAAAAUUUGUAAACAAUUGGCAAGAGAGAUGAAAACUAUGUAUCACCUGAAAAGAACAAAAAAAAAAAAAGACACGAGAAAUCAAACCCUCCGAGUGAAGCAGUUUACACUUGGGGGCUGCAAAGAACCAAGUUUACCGGUUUUUGAAACUGAAACUGCUUUCACUGCGCACAACAGUUUGUCAAAAAGAGAGCAAAAGAGGAAAAGAAUCACAGAUCAUUAAGGAGCAUAAAGUAAACAUCAUUUUGCUGAUAAUUAAUCUGCAGCAGCGGACAACAAAGAAUUAAACAAUUUUAAAAUGAGAACUGUGUACGCCAACAAAUACAGGUGUUGACAGAUAAAAGGGGAAAAAAAUAAUUAACCUGCAUCAACUAUGGCACCAAUACAAUUCUUCAAGGUGCCAACUCAUCGACGAUCAUGUGCGCUAAACAAAAAAGGACAAAAAGAAACAGAAAAAAGAAAAAAAAGGAAUGGUUGGAAGAAUAUCCGCACCUGCCCGGAAGGACCCAUUUACACCGUGAUUGCCUACUUUAUAGUCUCAGACUUUACAACUAACUUCCAAAAAAUAUUUAUUCAGCAUGCUCGCCUCGAGCCAAAAUUUAAUGGUUCCCAUAGCACCCUCAUUUUCCUCAGCCAAACUGCGGCGCUUCUCCAAUAGAGCUCCCUCUUGAAGCUACAUGAAUUCAAUUGGCAAACACAAAAUCAAUUUAGACCAAUAAUUGUAAGAUCCUCUGUUGUCUUAGAAUAAUCAAAAUCUUGAUAAUUGUCUCCCGCCUUUAGCUAUAAAUGUACAUUGCAUUCAUCCAUGAAUUGGUUUUCUCGCGUGAGGAACUUCUUCCAGUGGUUUUUGUAUUCAGGUAUACCUAAUUCAAGCCAAGGCUUCAUGUUGCCGUUAUAAUGCAGCGAUACAGCAUUGGUAACUAAAUCCUCGUUAAUUCCGUAAUGAUAACCAAGCCCCGAUAUAGUCCACCUAUCGUCCAGGGGAUAGAUGAGAUUUUGAAAUAUAAGCAAGCUGAUGGGCAAGGCUGAUGCUCGUAGGGAUACCUCGUUCCUACUAUUGAACUGUCGAGUCAGCAGAAAGAGUUACAAGGAUGUUAGAGCCAGAAAAACGAAUAUGUAAUCCAUGUUUAAAUAAUAACUGGUAUGUUUAUUUCGUCAGCACUCUUCUCUAUCACUUAAACAUGAACUAUGGAAGCCAUCUUCUUCAGUGCAAAACAAAUACAAUUAGUGGUUCUUAUUAUUAAGCAGGAAGCCAUGAUAGGAACAAAGGCAAUGAGGAAUUCCGAAAAGAACUGUCGAUAUAAAGUCACAUGAAUGAAUAUACAUGACUACAGGGUUAAAUCAAAACAGUAUUCCCCAAAAUCCUUUCUUCCAGGGGGAAAAAAAAAACUACCCAGUUUUCUGACAUUAGUAUAAAAAUAGUGUGAAAUAAAUGAUAAUGCCUUCCAAGGAUUAUUACUGGUACUAACCUGUUGAAGCAGAUGCAUAUAUCUCCCUGUGAUAUUAAGCUCCCUCCACUUCUCAAAGUCAACUAUAUUCAGUCCGGACAUCCACGCACAAGAUUUAGCAUCAUAAACAUUAUUCCCCAGGUAUCUCCUUAAUUGGCCCAACCUUACUCCACAAAACCUCACGGCACCAUUCACCUUCUCUCCCAGAUUAAUGUUCCAUAAUGAAGACAAAUCCUGCUGGACAAUCACAUCAUCAUCCAAUAUCACCACCCUUUUCAACUUCUUGAAUAUUUCUGGAAGAAGAAAGUGUGAGUGGCCAAAGACUGCUAAGUAUUCGACCCUCAUCUUUGCACCAGGUUGGUCAAUGUUACGAAUGGUGAUACGGAACUCCUCAGAUACAUGUAGUUGCCACACAUCCACAUUACGCAGGGUCUCCAAAACAAUCUUUUCAUAAUCGAGGACACGAAUAGCUGCUUCCUUGUAAGAACUCCUGGCAAACCAGAGUUUCAUGGCAUAGUAAUUUUGUGCAUCGGUUAGCACAUGAAAAACCAUAUUUCCUGACACCUGUUACCACGACCGAGAAUUCCUCAAUGCUCAUAAAACAUCAGACAUGAAUAUAUUGUCUUCAAAAACUAGAUUCCUUACAUAUUCACACCAUUUUAGUUACAAAGAAGCCCCAUUUUAACGAAACAUUGGACAAUAUAAAACCAACUUCCCCUAUGAAUGGGGGGGUGGCUCCCAAACUAAAGAUAACUUAUUUUUAUAAAAACUGCACAUUCUGAAGUUCAGCCUUUUCUUUCUCCACAACGGUACAGUUAUAAACAGAUGAUGUUACAAGAAUAUAUAUAUAUAUAGCAGGGCUGCUGUGCUCUCAGGAGCACGGAGGCCUCUGUGCUCCUGAGCCGUUUUCGAUGAUGGAGUUUCCGAAUCGACGAUCGGUUCUGUUAAACUUGAUCUAGCGUAUUUGAAGUUUCUAGAAAAUAAUUUUUGCGAUUUUUCGAUAUCAUUUACCUAGCAAUUGAAAGGAUUCAAAAUCAAUAAUUUUUAACGGCUGAAAAUAAAAAUCCUAUAAAAAGUGGUGAUAUAGCACUAAAAUUUUCAAUCAGAAAUAUUGAUCUUGUUGUAGAUAGUAUAAAGAAUUUUGUAUCAAAAUUUCAUCUGAUUUGAAUACUUCUACACCGUUAAACUUGAAAACGACAGAUAUCAACCAUUAAAAAUUUAUGGAUUUUGAAUCGUUUCGAUCACUAGGUAAAUGAUAUAAAAAAUAGCAAAAUUAUUUUCUAGAAACCUAAAUGCGCUAGAUCAAGUUUAACGGAGCCGAUCGUUGAUUCGAAAAUUCCAUCAUCGAAAACGCUCAGGAGCACGGAGAGCCUCCAUGCUCCUGAGAGCACAGCAACCUGCUCAUAUAUAUAUAUAUAUAUAUAUAUAUAUAUAUAUAUAUAUAUAUAUAUAUAUGUAAAAGACCAAAUAUUUUAUCAGCUCAAUAACAGAUGUAUUGCAUACCUCGGAGCUCAUCACGGUUGAAUUGAUGACGACAGAAGCUGCAAGAACAUUUCUAGAGAAUAUAAUGUAGUGCCUAUAAUCUGGGGUAUCAAACUUGAGACUGUGCAAGUGCUCUGAAACAAUGGGAAGAGAUUUGAAAUGUUCAACUGUCAAUUUCAUGAACAAACAAUGGAGGCUUUUAGGCAUUGUCUGAACACCAAGGUGGUGGAGGAAUGCACUCUGCUUCAUAUGAAAAUGCGCUUCAUCUUCCGCCAUAUCAAGAAUCUGCCUAAGUUUCUUGUCAACAUUAUUGCAAUCCACAGUGCAUGAUUUUGCUCUUGCAAUUAUCUGAUCCAUCCUUUUUAUCUUGUCUCCAAUACUGAAAGAAAUGGGAAGUGCCAUUAAUAUCUGAAAAUGUGAUUUAUACAAUAUCAAUAAGUAGUUACUACAAUAAUAACUAAAAUAAAAUUACUUCCAGUUAUGUAAUAACAACAACAACAAUAAAAAAUAAUAUCCUAGUAACUCUGCAUGUAUUAUUGACAUAAGAUGCAAAUCAAUGGUAGAACGUCUCGUAUAAUUUAUCAACACAUAAUAAAUAAAAUAAGUAUCAUUUAGAAGGUCUCGUCUAUUGGCAUUAUCAACGCAUAAUAAGUACAAUUACUAUCGUUUUGGGAACUAGGGCUAAUUUUAAUUUCCUAACAAUAAUUUCGCUCCCUCUUAAUUCAGAGUUAGAUAACCUCAAGUUUCCACCACCGCGCAACAUGAGUUUACUGCAUUUUAAUGCUUAGUUAACAGUGUAAGAACAUAAAGCAACAGUAGCACAAUGAAGAAAAAUUCAACUUCUUUACUUACAAAGGUGGAAGAUCCGCAUCUAGAAUGGCUUCACUAAGCACUCGCUCAUGUUCCUGGAUAUUCUGCUUCAAUUCACGAGAUAAUGUCUCUUGUCCAUGGAGUUUCGCAAUGCUCGGAUAGUAAGCCCUAGCCACAAAGAGUUGAUCUUUGAGUCUUUUCACUAUAGAAUCCUGCAUAACUUCUCUGUGUUCUAUGGACCAGAGGCAAUAGCUCCCAAAUUCAAGUUGGCAAGAUUUUUCGGAGUCAUCACUAUUAAAACCUUUGGCAGCUUUUUUCCUACUACCCUUGUCUUCAUUCUGGGAGAAAUACAGCAAUGGUAUCACUCAAUAAUCUUAAAUGCACGAUAUCUUUGGAAUACCAAUGAAUUUCGUUAAUAAAAAGCUUAAGAAACAUUGACUACAAUAAAAAGGUAAUGACCGAAUUAACAGACACUAAUACUAGAACAAAUUGAACAACUAGCUAAGUAUUAAACCAAACACCAAUCAUCAACAACUCUAAAACUAUUAGCACUUACACUUGUACUUAAUACUGGAACUGAUUUUGGAAUAGCAAAUUGUGGUGUAGGAAGAACUGCGCAUAAAGAAUAAAAUUGUAAUUGUCAAGGCUUUAUAUACACAAGGUAACUUCUGUUGAACUCUAACUCUUAAGCAAAAGAACAUAUUAUGAAUUAUAUCAUACCUUGUGGCACUGAGGUCGAUACCACUGCAUUGCCCGAGUCAUCAUUAGUUCUGUUUUGUGGGUUCCCACUAGUUUGGACUGUGUUCUUUCCCUUAACAUCCUGACAAAGAAAUGGGGUCAGAUAUUUCAAGAAACUUGAUUAUCCUACUAAUUAGAUGCAUUUUAUACAAAAUCCCACGCUUCAAGAAACAUUCAAAUUGCAAGUAAACCAAAGACAAAAAUUUUAGAAAGUAAACAAUAGUCCUGAAGAAAAUAGAGAGUAAUGCCAAGAGAAUAGCAGAGCAAAUAAGAUACUGUUAAUUUAGCAAUAAAAUGUGAUAAGCUCCAAAAGAACACAUUCUGAAAAUCACAUUACCUGUAAAUAGUUAAAAAACCAAUGGACAGAAGAAGCAUACCUUUCAGGGCCGUAUGUAGACUUAUUUAAAGAAAGUUUUAAUUUUGUACUAGAAUUUUACUCAAUUAAACCAAAAGUUGGUGUGAGUCAAACCAUUUAUUAAUCACAACCCCAACUACUUCAAACAAAAGUUUGGUGAUUUGAGCAUCAUAUCGAAGGCUCUCAAUUCGUGAUGAACAAUUCAACAAAAGAGGAGCAAACCUUUGACAAAGGUGGUCCAACUUUUGUCAUGAGCUUGUCGACGCCGGGACCCCAAGUCUGCCAUGAAUUCAACCAGCACAGCAGCAAAAGGUCACUCAAAGUGCAAACACAUCCUACUUUAUUCAUCAAGCCUUUCGUAUCAUAAAGAAAUUCAUUACAAAAAAAAAGGGAAAACAACCUCUGGCGAUUCCUUGACACCUUCGAGACGACCAAACGAGCGGAAGUUAAUCUCCUGAGAUUCAACAGAACUUAAUCAAAUCGAUAGCUACCAAACGAAAUCACAAAGAAAUCAAAUCAAGUUGUGACAUUAACAAAAAGUAACAUCUUUUUCAAGCGAUCUUUUACCUGCUGCAACCGUUCGUCCGUCACGUACCCUGCAUCAAGAACAACAACACAAGUAAGAAUCGUGCGACAUAACCAGGAUAACUAAACAAAUUAUUCAAAAAGAUAAUAAUACAAUAAAAUCACAUAUAUAUACGCCGCAUCUCCUAAUCCCGCAAAACAAACCACAUGAUUUCGCGAUAUUCCCCAAUCAAGAUCCACCGACACCAACAAGGAUCCGAUCUCCACCGAUAACAACACCAUUAAAACCGAAAGAAACGCAUCGAGAUCCAAGCGAAGAGGAGAUCCGAUCGAGAACGCACCGGCGGGGAAUCGGCCGAAGAGGAAUGCGAGGGGGACGAGCAGGGAGCAGACGACGAGGGCGAGCACCGCCACCGCCGGGCCCCUCCACCGCCGCCUCGACGACAACGACGACGGCGCAGCCGCCGCCGGAGUCUUCAUCUCCUCCGCCGCAGAAACCCUAACACCACCAUCGAUCCGCCAUUAACGACCUCCUCCUCCUCCUCCUCCUCCUCCUCGUACGCCCUAAAAUCCCGAAUCCAUUAUUGCUUCGUCGUUAGAUUUCGAAUCCAAUCUACAAAGUUAAUUUUUUAUUUUUGGCGCUAAUUGUUGUUAUUAUCAUUAUCAUUAUUUUUUUUUGCUUAUCACGAAGAAACGGGAGAGGAGAGAGAAAGAGGGGAUUGCAUUUGUAAGCGUUGGAGAGAGAGAGAAAGAUAGAGAGAGAAAGGGACCUUAAUAUAAUAUAAUAUAAUAUAUGUAUAUAUAUAAUGUUGGUUUAUUAAUAAAUAAAUAAAUAAAAUAUAAUGAAAAUUGAAGCGCAGUUUGAUACUGUAGUUACAAAAAAAGCAACGCAUUUACAAUUUAAAUUUAAAAAUACUUAAAAAGCACUUAUAAUAUCAUCAAAAAAAUAUAUAAUUUUUGGCUUAAAAUUUUAUUUUAUUUUAAUAUUAUACAAUAAUUAUUAUUAUCAUUAUUAAAAGAUCAAAUCAUCAAUGAACACUUAGCUUCACUUAUUAGUGUUCAAAUAAUAAGAAUAUAUAUGUGUGUUAUACUACUAAAUAAAUGUGUGUUAUGCUAGUCUAAUAGUUGUUAUUCAGGAUAUAUUAAUAUAAAAUAAAAAGUUUAUUAAAAAAUCUUAUAAACAAAGAAUCUCUAGCUAUGAUAAUCAAUAUUAAAUAUAAAAAUAUAUAAAAUACCGUUCUCUAACGAUUUAAGUUUUAGAGUACAACAGGUCACAUGAUAUCAUGAUAUCAAAAUACAAGGUUUUGAAUUCGAGUCACGUCAGGCUCCUAGCAUUAUUAAUUUUUUUUAUUUAAUUUAAUUCCACGUCAUGGGGCUUGUGAAAAGUCUCAAGUCCAAACGUGAGGGUCAAGUCCAGACGUAUGGAGAAGUGUUAAAUAUAAAAAUAUAUAAAAUACCGUUUUCUGACCACCUAAAUUUUUAAAAUACAACAGUUGUUUCACAGUGAGGAUAAAUAUUUUUUUUUUCUUACAGCAACAAAAAAAUUUAGAAACUUAUUAGUAUUUUUUUCAAAAAAUUCUAUUCAAACAGUACUAAAAUAAAAUUUUAGUUUGGCAAACUAUGUCUAAAUGUAUUAUACUUGGAUAAGAGAAUUUGUCGAAUUUGUCUCUUAUCCAAAUAUCAUGUGACAAAAAAAAAAAAAAACAAGAAAUGUGUGGCACAGUAUUUUUCUAUUUUCCCUCCUAAUAUGGCAUUGCAAAAGUAAACAUCCCACAUGAAUAAAAUAAAAAAAAAAUUCUAAAAAGGCCAAGAAGAGUAGGGUUUUUGGUGGGUACUAAUUUUUGUCCUAAUAUUAUAACAAUACAAAAAGUCACAUAUCCCACAUGAAUAAAUGUGGGAUCAAACCAAACCAAACCAAAAGGAGUGGACCCAAUUUAAUAAUUUUGUGGACCCAAACCUAAUCUAAUAGAUCACUGUAUUUGUUCCCAUAUGUCGUUUUCUUUAAGCUGUCCUAUUUAAUCUCAAUAUGAAAAAUGUAUAAAAACCCUUCAAUUAUAGUUUAUUGUGAAAAGCCCCUAAAUCUUUGUUUCUUUUUUUUUCUUGAUUGAGACUGCUUAGCUUUGAAGAAUUAAGUAGUUCACAUCAAUUUAAUUAGAGAUUUUAUCACUUUAAUCAUGAGUUUGUCACAGUUGAUGAUUUUAUGAGUUUUUACCUAAUAAAAAAUGUUGAUAGCUUAUCACAUUAUUAUUUUCUUAUAAGAUGAAUCUAAAUUAUUAGAACAAUUUAAAUCAAAAUAAUUAAAAAUUAAGAAUGUGCGCGUCCAAACAUAUCUAUUUUAGAUAAAAAAAUGUUAGUUGAGAAACCACAUUUAUUGGAUGGAUAAGACGUGUAAUAUAUAUCCUAAAGGGAGUGUAUAAAUAGUAUUUUUUGUUUCAGAUUGAGACAAUAUCAGUUAUUAUUUCACUCAUGCCUUAUUUUUUAUUGGGUAAUUUUAAGAACGGUUAUAAGUCAUUGUCCUCCUAGUUUUCUAUGUCCUGAUUUGGAAAGACAACAAAUCGAUGUACCGCGUGUAAUAUAAAAGGUAACAAAUUUUCAAUGGUCGGUACCAUUCAAACAUUCUUAAAUAAGAAAACUGAUCCAAGGUGAUUAAAAAGAGUUUGGACUAAAAUUCAAAUACAACAACGAGAGUGAUAAUGAUAGAAAUUGAGUCUUUAAUUUUUAUUUUAAUUUUCUAAUGUAUUUUUCAUCUAAGUCACGUAUUUUGUUAUAAAAGCUUUUACGCGAGAUAAAAUAACUCUGUGUAUGUAUUCUUUGCAAAUGCUCAAUGGUACGGUAAAACCCAUUGUAACUUCAUUUGAAGUGGUACGUAUUUUGAUAUAUAACGUACUUUAAACAUAAUUCAUAUUUUUUUUUAUCGAAUAUGACACUUCAAUAUGUACCUUUACAGGGGAGGAUCGCAAAUCCACAUGCUAAGUGCAAUUUAGAUUUUUUUUAAAAAAAAAAAUUGUAAAGAGCACUGCGAGACUUAAAACUACGGCAAUACUAAAAUAUUCUUCCACAAAGAGCUAUAGAUACUAAUAUGCAAAUAGCAUAUAUAUAUAUAUAUAUAUAUAUAUAUAGAGAGAGAGAGAGAGAGAGAGAGAGAGAGAGAGAGAGAGAGAGAGAGAGAGUGCGGCUAGGAUGCUUAUGGAAGCACGCAGGGCUCCGUGCUUCCACUUUGUUUUCGAUGUUCGGAUUUUCGAAUUGACGAUCGGCUCGUUAGACUUGAUCUAGAGUAUUUAAAGUAUCUAGAAAAUAAAUUUUGCGAUUUUUCGAUAUCAUUUGCCUAGUGAUCGAAAUGGCUUAAAAUCAACGGCUGAAAAUAAAAAUUCUACAAAUAUGAUAAUAUGACAUUAAAAUUUUAGAUCAAAGUUAUUAAUCUUGUUUUAUAUGGUAUAAAAAUUUUCUAUCAAAAUUUCAUGUGAUUGGAUAUUUACACCGGAUAAACUUGCAACCGGCUCACUACGGACAUUAAAUUAUUCAUUUUGAGCCUCUUCGAUCACUAGGCAAAGGAUAUCGAAAAUCACAAAAUUUAUUUUAUAAGUACUUCAAAUAUUCUAGAUCAACUCUAACGAGCCAAUCGUCGAUGCGAAAGUCCGAAUAUCGAAAACAACUUGGAAGUAGGAAGGCUCUGUUGCUUCCAUAAGCAUACCAGUCCACUCUAUCUAUAUUAUAUUAUUUAUAUAUAUAAUAUAUAUAUAUAUAUAUAUAUAUAUAUAUAUAUAGAGAGAGAGAGAGAGAGAGAGAGAGAGAGAGAGAGAGUAGAGCUAUUAUAUUUUCGAAAGUAUAAAAAAAUUGGUGCUUCUAACUUUUUAAUCCUUGAAUCAAUUCUUUUGAUUAUUUUUAUUCUUUAAAUUAAUAUUAUUACCUUAUGGAAACCACUCAAUCCUAAAGAGGACUGCUAUCAUCUCGAUCUAAUAAUUCUUGAUCCAAAAGCCAAAAGUCGGAAAUACCAACUUCUUGAUGCUUUUGAUAAAACAGUAGCUCUAUACUAUAUAUAUAUAUAGAGAGAGAGAGAGAGAGAGAGAGAGAGAGAGAGCAACUUUUUAUUAAAAUAUAACUUGAUCUAGUUCGUGGAUAGGUUCAAAAGUGUAUGAAAUCAUAAACUAUUACUAUUACGUGGCACAAUGCAUGCAAAUGCUCGAAAGCUCCAAAAAUCCAUUGUUAUAUGUACUAGAGAUUUUUUAAAGAAGUACCUGGAUUAUAGGUGAUGGGUUUUGUCGCGCAUAAGCACGGCAUGAUCCAAAAGUUCAGCUUAAACUUGUCCCACUUUGUGGGCACGUUGAAAUAUGCAUCUCUCAUUUUAUUUUAGGAUUUGUUUAGUCGUAAGCUAGAAUUUAUGUAAAACUAUUAUUUAAGCCGGUAAGAAAAGCACCGAUAAUUUCCUGCAAAAGUUUUAAAUUAUAUCUUACACAACAAAAAAUUCAGAUUUAGGCCACCGCGGUUAAAUCUCUCCUCUUGAGAAAAAAGUAUAAUAAAUUUAAUAUUUUUUUAAAAAAAUCAUAAUGUAUUAGGUAAACCCUAGAUUGGUUGCGGGUUGCGGAUAUGAUGAUCUAAUGUCACAACCCUAUGAACCUUCUCUCUCAAAGAAGAGAAAAAAAAAAAAAGAAACAGUGUAAUAAACAUCACUGGACAACUUACAUCAGGCUAAGAGAACAUCCACUGUAGAUAGGAAAGAAGCAACAAGGCCUCAUUUGAUAUUGUAUUUUUAAAAGCAUCAAAUUUCAUGCCCUUGAAAACUAAAAAAGUCACAAGUGCUUCUAAGACGGUAAAAAUAAUAUCUUAUUUGUUUAGAUACGUAAUAUUACGUUCCGCACAAUAAACUGAUUAUGAUAUAUUUUUCAUGAUUCUCCAAAAAGAAUAUAGAAAUAAAUUUCCAUAUACGUUCGCACCCCUUGGUACUAAAUAGGGGUUCCAAGAAGAUGGGAGCUUUUUUUUUUUUUUUUUUGUUAACAAUAAUUUUAGUCACCAUUAUACCAAACUACCUCAAGGAAAUGGAAGCGCUUUUUCUUCACCGUUAAAGAUGUUGAAAAUCACCGAACCCAUGUGCUGCAGCAAGAAGCGCUUUUUAGCAUUGAAAUCAGGGCUUUUUUUUACACUUGGCCCUUUCAAAAAAAAACAUUUUUAUACAUAAUUUUACUAAAUUUAUAAUCACAAUUUUGGUCCUAUCCCUGUCAUGUAGACGGCGUAACCGCCACGCGAGAAAAAAUAAAGGUACUGGAAUAAAUUGAACAUGAUAAUUUAUUCAAGGUGCCUAAACACGAUUCAUGGUUCAUCGUGUCUAGAAAAAAUAUAUGUAUUACGAAAAAAUAUAAAUAUAGAAAAAAAAGAAUAUGAGGGGAAUAUAAUCAUAUAACACGAUGAACCAUUCACCGUGUUUGAACACGAUAAAAUGAUUAGCUGUUCAACUUAACGCCCCUCCCCAGCCAGCUUGCAUGGCGCUAAUACGGUGCCUUGCGUAGCUGGGAUAGGGCCAAAAUUGUAAUUACAAGUUUUAUAGAACUAUUUGUGAAAAAAAAAAAAAAAAAAAAAAAAAAAAAAAAAAAGGAAAAAAAAAAAAAAAAAAAAAAAAAAAAAAAAAAAAAAAGAAAAAGAAAAAAGCCCUUGCAAUCAACAAACGACCCCAUGUGCUGCAGCACAAGUGACAAGUGCGCCUUGAUUUCGCAUCCCAUUUGGAGCUUCUUUCGGAAGCCGUGCACAGCUGCGGAUGCACGGACGGUGUGGUGUGCUCCACCGUUCAUGUAACUCAGCCCCCCCAGUAAUAAUCAUAAUCAUAAUCAUAAUCAUAAUCAUAAUAAAUCAGAAUAAUAAUGAAAGCUUUGGUCCAAGUUCCAGCCACAAAUAUAUUAGGGUUAUCACAUUCCCAUUAACAACUUUAUCCACCUCAACAUUGUCACCAGCUUAAUUUUAAUUUAAACAAAGGAUUGUAAUAAAGCACACAGUUCGAUAGCGUAUCGCGGCGUUACUUGCAAAGCACACUACAUCUAACGGAUUUGUUCAUGAGAUUAACAUAAUAAUAAUAAAUAAACAAAAUCUAGUUAUCUGUGAAAAGCAUAGAACAACACCAAGAUGCUAAUGCAAGUAACCGAGUGCAAACAUGCUGGGGUCAUUUGCUGCAUUGAGAUUAUUAUACACAACAUGAUUAACAGGUUUAACAGUUGACCCAGUGAAGGUCAUUUUUUUCUUUUUCCUUUCUCAUUUAAUACCUAAUAUAAGAAAAGAGGGAGAAUGAAAAAUAUAGAUAAUCCAUGGGCUCUGAUUCGUAUUCGAUUUCUAUUACAUGCAUAGGAAAUGAUAUGUAUAUCAUCAUGCUUUAAAUGUGUGUAGAGACAGAUGUCUCAUUCUAUUUGCCUGAAAUCAGCGAUUCACCGAGUUCGAUCCAGGAGAUUAAACAAAAGAAAAAAAAAAAAAAAAAAGCACAAAAUAAAUAGGGCUGAAGUGUAAGAUUGGUACCGACAACCGCCUACUGCUAACACAAGCUUUGAUAAUCCUCUCAUCAGGAUUCGGUAACUACUUGUGGUGUUUCAAUGACCGGAGGUACCGCAUCCACCUUAUAUCGCAGACUCUGUUUGAAAAUAAUUACAGGUAUAAAGUUAUUAGCAAAUAUUUAAGAUAUUUCGGUCUAAACAACUCAAUAAAACAAACCUCAAGUUAUUCUACCUUUUUGAAGAAUGCCGAGUAAGAAUUGUCCCACACAAGUCGAUAGGAUCCGGCCAAGAUUGUGCAAAAAUUCCCCUUCAUACAUUACAAACAGAGAAGAUUAAUGUUAGGAUUCAAAGCAACAAAAGAAAAAUAAAUGGGAUAAUAGAAUAAAUAACGAAUAGCUCACCUGGUCAGAUUCGUAUCGGCGGUAAGGUAAAAUCAGCUGCGAGACGGAAUUUCAUCAGCAAAGAUACAAUAGAAACAGAAAAUUGCUAUAUGAUUUGAAAUAUCAUCCCUGAAAGAAAUCUUACAGUUGUCUCUCCUGUAGGACUAACGUACUCCACAUGGAAACCGAUAUCCUGUCCGCAUAAAUUUCGGUGUUAAAACAAUUGACCAACUUCACCUUCAAAAUUAAAAUAACAUAGAAAGGGAAACAACUCGGACAAGCAGAAAAGUUAGACGCUAACAAAUAGCUAAGAACAAGAUUUCGACAUUUUGAAACACUAAAGAACUUCAAAAAUGUUUCCUUAAUUCAAGAAAUAAGAAGUAAAUUCUUGCUGUAAAAUAGGUUAGUUUCACACUAUUAAGUUUCUUUUGUACCAAGCUAAGUGUCCCCUGGAUCAGAGAGAAAUCCCAAGCAAUGUACGAAUUUACAGCAUCAACUGCCAAAACGACCUGCAAAUACCACACGAGAUAUGUGAGUGAACACAUCACUAUCCUCACGUUCUAGCUGUACAGCCAGAAAAUACCUCAUGCGUCUUUCCAGCAGGAAUGGCGGUCUCUUUGUAUUCAUCACUAUUCCUAUCCGAAGGAAAAUGAAAAAAAAAUAAAAGAAAAAAACAUUAACUGUUUUAAUUCGUCCACAAAAAGGUGUCUAAAUACGGCACUUGUUCACAAGAAACAAAUGAAACAAGGGAGAACGUGCCUUGAUUCAACAGCACCAGCAUCCUCUGCAGAUAUAAAAAACGGAGAAUUCACAAACACCUCACUGCAACAAGUUAAUCCAACAUCAGAUCUUGUGAAAUACAAAAUAUGUUGAGCAUCAAACAUCUGACUAAUAUAAUGAGGAAGGUCGUAGUGAUAGCCACAAGUUUGAAUUGAUUAACAAGCUGCUAAAUUUAAAAGAAAUGCACAAGUCAAAUCCAAAAUCAACUCGUCUUGACUCAAUUCGACUCCGAAUAAAGCCUAAGCUAACCUAGUUUGCUGAAAUUGGAUGCCAUUGCAUAAUUACUGUAAAAAUAUGUUUUAGAAAUGUGCAAAGCAUGUCUUGAAUUUAUAACUAAGCAGUGCUGAAAAUGAUCAAGCAUAUACAUAGGAAAAGGAGCACACAAUUGCCACAACCUACGGAAUCUUGAAAUUAGAGAUCUUAAACUAGGUUAAAGAUCAAUUCAGCAGCUCUUAGCACCCUUUGAAAUAAGAUAACAGCUAAAAGUUUAAGGAUGUUACUAGGUAAAGCUUUCCGUAUAUAUUAGAAAAGCUUCUAAAAGUGCUAAAAGAUAUGUCAGCUCGCUGAUAUCAUGACUUGCGAUUGAUUGUUACACCAUUAAGAAAUUUUAGCAUUAAAUUUUCUUUCCACAAUUACACCAAUAGAGGAUGUCAAGUAGACGUUCACCAAUAGUAUGAUACGAUCAUAGAGCACAAAAUGAAAGUAUAACGCAAGUCGAAAAUGAAGAUAAGCGAACAAAACUUUAUUAGAUCAUAGCCACAGUAGGAAAAUAAAAAAGAAUGAACAAAACAAAAAAAGUGUGAUAUCUCUUAAAGAGCAAUAUUCUUUACCCUAUGAAUUUGAUGAAUUUUUCAAACUCCGAGGUGUAAACAUCCGCAGCUUGCUGUACAAUGGUUAUAUUCUCCGUCUCUCUACUCAAUAUUACAAUCAAUAAGAUACGAAAACUUAAAUCAGUACGUGAAAGUUCCAAAAGAAGUGAUAUAAGGGCUAGGUCUUCUUCUGAAAGGAAAUUAGGAAGACCCAAAAAAAACAAAAAGAAUGAUUUAAUUAACACAAGAUCUCUUACAUUUUCUGUUGCUCAACACGCCCCCAAGAAAGAAGUAGAAAUAAUCGAAUAUUCAAAACCAUUUUAGUAAGAGUGUAAAGAGAUGGUCCAUAUCGUUCUCUUUGUUCUUCCAUGGGCCUGAAAACCAAAAUAUGGAGUAAACACAUAUGAGACAUCAUCUUCUACAUACAAAUUAAGCAGAUUGAUCUUGAUGGCCAAAUUUAAAGGAAACACUACACAUUAUCAUAUAGUCAUAGGAAAAUUCUUCCAUCAUGACUAUUUGCAAAAUGAUUCUUUCAUUAUUGAGCUUAUUCUUAGCAAUACGCCUGAAUUAAAUUAAAAGUUUAAACAUCAUGAGAUGCAAUUGUUCAAGACGUGCGCUAUCAAAUUUCAAGUGAAAAACAAAAAGGUAGCAACACCAAAAUCAAGUCUAUUAUUCCAACUUCAUCAGAAAUUACUCCUCCAAAGAGCUAUGUUAGUCUCUUAAUAUAUUAAGGGAGAACAUUAUGCUGUGGCCUCAUUCCUUUAAAAUUAAGUUUAACUUUGAAGGUAUUUUUAGAACAGGAUCAAUUAAAUAAAAUCACUCAGCAAUAUCCUAAUGAAGGGUUUUUGAAGGUUUUUUUUUUUUCUUCAAUGUAUAGCAAAGUAGUGCUAUACACAAAUUUUCCUUUUGAUAAAUAGAAGACAUAUACCCGUUAUCAUCAUUUAUCUGCCGAAUGAAAUCUAACAAAACCUGCACAGAAAAAAGAAAAAAGAAGCCUCAUGAAUUUACCAAAUGAAGAACACAUUAUUAUAUCAAUCUAACAAGAAAAGAACACCAAUUCGCUUUUGUCCAGUAUAAAAGAUGCUAAACAUGGGGAGGCAAAGUCUGUAACAGCAGUAGUAUAGUACCAUACGGUCUCAACUUCAGAAAGAAAUUUUUUAACAUUUUUUCAGCUUUGAAAAGGUUUCUCAUAUCUUUUCAGUUUUGAAAAGGAUUUUUUUGUUCCUCACUUAGCAGGAGAUCUUUACGUCAAUAUAAAGGCCUAAUAGAAUAAAUUUGAAAAAUUCACCUCGCACGGGAAGUAAUGAAGAUGAAAUCAGAGUUUACCUCAUGUAGCUCAUUGAACAUCAAAAUUAAAAGGCAGUGAUCUAAAGUUUAUAAAGGAAUACCACAGAUCAGAAAGGACAACUGGGAAAAUAAAGCACCAUAACCUCAAAAAAAAAGUUUAAGCUGCAAAUAUUCUAUUUAGUCUUAAUCAAAUAUCUUAUGAAAAUCAAUUUUAACCAAAUGUGGACUCAACUUUAACCAAGUGUUAACUUCAACUUUAACCAAGUGUUAACUAAUCACCACCAGAGAGUUGGCAACCAUAAAUGGUCUAUUAUCUCGAUAGAAAUAGCAAGUUUAUGGAUUAAUAAUAAACCAUCUUGUAAGAAAAGAAAGAUGAGAAACGAGAAGCUUCAACUCUAUAGAUGACACACCUGAGGUACCCCAACCAAGUACUUAACAAGUGUCUUAUAUACACCAGUUGCAGAACCAAGCUGUGCUAACUGUCUCCGCCUAAGAGAACAUACAAUAUGUACAGCAGCUUCAUGUAGUUAGAAUAAUAAAAAACAAAUGACUCUCUUAAAAAGAAAAUGAAAACAACCUUUCCAUUUGCUGCUUCCACAACAGAGCAUAGCGAUCGCGUAUGCUUCCACCAGCGUUAACCACAGCAUCAACCUCAGCUUGCUUAUUUCUCUCCGAGCGUUCUCGCUGCUGUCUGAUUAAAGUGCCUCGAAAAUCUUGUGGCAUGUAGGUCAUAACUGCAAAUAUGUUUACAGACCACCUGGUCAAUUAUCAAGAGAGUUUCUUAGCAAUGCCCUAGAGCCUGAAUAAGCUUUCCAUAGUACCCAACAAAAUUGCAGUGGCAUUUCUACUUAUCAUUGCAAGGCAUUUAUGUGUUAAAAUAAUGAUAAUUGUAAGUUUCAUCAUUAUGGUGAAUGUCCCCACAAACAGAUACACAAACACAAUCAGAAAAGACCACAAAUGGAAACAAACAAAAUGGUUCAAAAGCUGGUUUCUCAACAAAAGGACAUACAGGUAGAAAUGCCAUUUCUCCAUGAAAGGACUGCUGUUUGACGUCAUGCUCAUUUGUGGAAAAUUUGUAGUUUGCUUGUUGAACAAAUUACACGAUGUACUGAGAAAACAAAUUUUUUUAACAAUCAAAGGAAGGUUAGAGCUAACAAACAAAUGCAGCUCCUUUUGUUGUUGAAGCCUGCUAGAGAUGCACUAGUGAAAAUCAGGUCAAGCUGUAGAAAGCUGACAAAAGGAUAAAUAGAUAUCCAAAUUUCAAAAAGUGAAAUUUUCAGACUAUUAAGUUAUAGAAUGCAGUGACAUACAUUGCCAAAUAAACAAUAGCCAUGCUAUUGAUUCAUCAGACUCUGAGCAUACUAGCCACAAACUGAAAAAAGAAGAGAGGAGUGGGGGUUAAAAAAAAAUCCCACAAUUCAAUGUUCCAUCAACAACUACCAAGGUGGAGGAUCUGAAGGACUCAAUAGUGAGGAUAUUGUAGUUUUCGUGCAUAGCAGUUCAAGUGGGAAACAUACUGUUCUUGCUUAUCCAGUAUUUCUACAUACAGUGGUAUAGGAUAGGAUGAGCCAAGGAUGGCAUGCCAGUACAUUCUAGCAGGCAACUGUCAUGCAGCAUUGUACCAACUCCCAUACUAUGAUAAGUUUGUACCGCAAUAAACUGUUGUGCCACUCCACCCCACAUCAAGUGCUAAGCAUGCUUCUUUAUUUUCUUUUAUACUGAUGUCUGUGCUGAUCACUAGCACGAUAAGUGUCGCCACACAUACCAUGUUAUAGGUGGAGCGGCAUGGUGCAUGGCACUGGCACGUAUAACCUUGGAAUCAGGUAAACACUGUUUUACAUAUGAUUGGUCAACCAAAUUAGCUUACAUAUAUUUUAUUAAAGUACCUGCUUAAGAUAAGAAACAGGAAAAAGAAAACUAGUUGAAAUAAGGACGCAUCAGCAAACUUGAUCUUCCUGAUCAAGCCCCUAACUUUCACGAUUCCAUCAAGACUCGGUUAGCCCUUGAUAUAAUAAAAAGAAAUUUGAUACCACUAUGAUUCUAUGAAUCAAAUCAAACAACUAAGGUAUUCUAGCCAACUAGCCUUGGCUAAACCCUGGCCAAUUUCCACGUGCUCCCAUGUCAUUGAAAAGUGAAUCGCAAGCAAUACCAAAAAACCUACUCCACUUAUCUUUACCUCAGGGAAUACUUUACAUGGAAAAGAUGAAAGGACAGUCAGGUGAUCAUGCAAAGGAGAGACAACAAAGUGAAAGAAUCUCGCAAAGAGAAAACAGAGAAGCAGGUUAGAAAAGUGGUUGAUCUGGCUACAGCACACUUCACUUUUCAAAUAACAUUGAGCAUGCUGUCAUCCAGUGUGAAAAUCAUAAAUAUUAUUACCUUUUUAGGGAUUGAAAUUUCAAGUAUUGUAUAAAUAAUUGCACCAUCAACAAACCUACUUAUAUCAUUCUUCAAGCUGCACCAUUACCCAGUGACAUCACAAGCCAGAACAUAACAAAGGACAAGUAAGGUUUCACGAACCAUUGUUUAUUAGUAUAAUAAUAACGAACCAUUCAUUUAACCCUUAUAGGGCAUAACUUGGAAUAUAAUCAGGUAAUAACAAAU
rnacentral:lncRNA from 1 species